rnacentral:lncRNA from 1 species
GGACGGAUCGUCUCAUCUCCGAAGCAAUGUCGUGGGAGGGGACCCGUUUUACUGCCCCUUUACUUGAGCAAUGUUGAUCGUUGUGGCUGCGAUGGGGGUUUGUUGCUUAGUUUUGGGACAGAAAAGAAGAGAUCUUGGGCAGCUGCAAAAUGGUUGCUACGGGACACAUGACUGCCUUUUUCAUCUCAUGUUUUGGAUGUCGUCGUCACAAAUGUCUUGAGCUCGAGCUGUAGUUAGUGCAAUUAGUCAUGUAACCUUAAGGGUAAAGCUCCUGCGCGUAGUCUCGUUUGAAAUAAAAUAACACAAGAGAUUUGGGAGGUACUUCUCAAGCACCUGCUCUGCAUUCAACUAUAUACAGAUGUGUUCACUGAAACUGUGCAUGAUCAUCAGAUCAUGUGCAGAGAGCAUCCUUUCUUCUAAAUAUAAUAUUCGAACGUGCUCCACGCUCCUGAUUUCUUACCUGGCAGGUAAUCAGAUGGCCAGAGUAUAGCAAAGAUAUUGCUAGGGUAAUUGGGAACACCAAACUCCAGAAUAUGCUAGGGUCUGACGAAUUUUUUGAGCCUUAAGUGGGCUGCAGUCCAUGAAGCCCAUUUUGCACUAUUUUUUUAAUCUAUAGAAUAUAUAUAAACUACAAUCCUGUGUUAUAAAUAAUAUACAUAUAAAUAAAAUUAAUUGCAUUACAGAAAAUAAUCAUGUAUUAAUUUAACAUUUAUCCGCAUAAUUAGAUUAUAAAUUACAAAACUAUUCAUGUAAUACUUUGCAUAUUUAAUAAAAAUAUAAAAGUAAUUUUACAUGUUUUUAUAUAUUUUAGUAAUCCUUAUAGAAAUUUGAAAGUGUUCAUAGUUUAAAAGAAAAUAUUCAGGUACUCUCUCCGUUCCACAAUAUAAGAACGUUUUUCAAGCUAUGUGCUCCCUCUGUCCCACAAUAUCAGAACAUUUUUCAAGCUAUGCUGGAGUAGUAUAUUAAAGUGUCCAUGCUUUAAUAAAGUUUUUGUUAAUAAAUGUUCACUGUUUAAAAUAAUAUUUGUGUAGUAUAUAAAAGUGUUCAUGCUUUAAGAAAGUUUAUAUUUUUCUAUAUAUUUCAAUAAAUGCUUAUAUAAGUUUACAAUGUUCAUGUUUUAAUAAAAUAUUUAUGUACUUCAUAAAAGUGCUCUUUUUUUGAAAAUUAUUUUAUUUAUAAUCCACAAUUAUAAUCACAUAUAUUUUUUAUUUUUAAGAAAAAUAAUAGUCAUAAUGGGCCAUAGGGAUUAUAAUCCCCUUAAGACUAAAACAUUACAAAAAUCGACUUCCAUCGAUGGCUCCCGGAUCCGAUCUGACAUCAAGUUCGAGAGAACUGGCUUGUGCUGCUCAUGGAUCUGUUGCGACGCCAAACCCUAGAGGAUCCGCUUUCCGUGGAAAUUCGCAGAGUACUCCAGGUUGCCGAAUCUGACGAUUCGGCCUGCAGCGUAAUUCUUGACCUGGCCAAGGUGGCUCAUCGAGCCAGUGACAAAAGUGGUGAUGUCGAAGAUGAACAUCCGGCCUGACGCGUAAAUCGCAUAGGAACCGAGCUGAACUCCUAUCGGGCCCUUGAGUUCACCAAGUGGGACCUACAUGGGCCAACACUACCGGAGCUAAACCUGGUAGAUCGCUUGGUAGGGUAUCUCGGCUAGGCGAUUGAGGUGGUAACAUGAGACAAAGUUUUAGUUAGGUUCAGGCUCCCGUGGUGAAGAUAGUACCCUACUCCUUCUCAUGUAUAUUGCGAUAGGGGUGUGUACAGAGUACAGAUGAAUACCAAGGGAUUGUAUGUUGUCUGUCGACGAGCCUAGCCGCCGGCUUAUAUAACAUGCCGGGGGUCCUAUGGUUAUAGAUCCUAGUUUACUACGUUGAUGGAGGUAGAGUCUUCCACAACUUUGGUAUCUUUGUUUGUAUGCCAAGUCUUCUGAAGUCUUCAUAUAACUUAUCAUGGGCCGCCCAAAGUGGCCCAGAUUGGAACCGACCUAGGGGUUCUCGGCCCGACCCACCAGGUCAGGCCCCAACAUGGUGAGAGACUCCUCAGCCGGAACACCGUCACUCUGUAAACUUGUUUAGCGUUGAAACUGUGAAUGACAAUGUGUUGAGAACAUGAAUCCCUUCUCCCUCCGCCACAUAAUUUAAGACGUUGUUACAUCUAGUAUGCGCUCACAUAUUAGAUGUACUAACGUCUUAUAUUAUGGGGCGGAGGGAGUAAUAAAUAUACUAUUCGAAUGUGCUCCAUUCUUGAUGUUUACUACACAACUUUAUUCUUGUAGACACGUGUUGGGCCUUCAAAUGCAGAGUUUUGUAGGACAGUAGCAAUUUUCCCUCAAGUGGAUGACCUAAGGUUUAUCAAUCCGUGAGAGGUGUAGGAUGAAGAUGGUCUCUCUCAAACGACCCUGCAACCAAAUAAAAGAAAUCUCUUUUAUCCCCAAUACACCCAAUACAAUGGCAAAUUGUAUAGAUGGCAAAUUGUAUAGGUGCACUAGUUCGGCGAAGAGGUGGCGAUAAAAGUGUAAUAUGGAUGGUAGAAAUGUAUUUUUAUAAUCUGAAUAGAUAAGAACAACAAGGUAGUAAAUAGUAAACAGGCACAAAAACGGUAUUGCAAUGCUUAAAAACAAGGCCUAGGGUGCAUACUUUCACUAGUGCAAUCUCCCAACAAUACUAACAUAGUUGGAUCAUAUAACCAUCCCUCAAAGUGAGAUGAAGAAUCACUGUAAAGUUCCUAUCUGGCGGAGAACAUAAGACAUAAUUGUUUCUAGGGUACGAAACAACCUCAAAUCUAUUCUUUCCGUUCGAUCUAUUCAAGAGUUCGUACUAAAAUAACACAAAGCUAUUCUUUUCGUUCGAUCUAUCCUAGAUUUCGUACUAAAAUAACACCAAAGCAAAUUCAGAUUUAUAAUAUUCAAUCCAACACAAAGAACUUUAAAGAGUGCCCCAAGAUUUCUACCGGAGAAACAAAGACAAGAACGUGCAUCAACCCCUAUGCAUAGAUUACCCCAAUGUCAUCGCGGGAAUCCGCGAUUUGAAUGCCAAAACAUAUAUCAAGUGAAUCAAUACGAUACCCCAUUGUCACCUCGAGUAUUCAAUUGCAAGACAUAUAUCAAGUGUUCUCAAAUCCAUAAAAGUAUUCAAUCCGAUAACAACGAAAUCUCAAAGGGGGAAACUCAAUUCAUCACAACAAGAUAGAGAGGGGAAAACACCAUAUGAUCCGACUAUAUUAACAAAGCCCAUGAUACAUCAAGAUUGUGACAUCUCAAGAUCGCGCGUGAGAGAGAUUAAACACAUACCUAUUGGUACAAACCCUCAGCCCCGAGGAUGGACUACUCCCUCCUCAUCGUGGUGGCCGUCGGGAUGAUGAAGAUGGCCACCGGUGAUGAUUCCCCCCUCUGGCAGGGUGCCAGAAUGGGGUCUAGAUAAGGCCUUGCGGCGGCGGAACUUCCGAUUUAGGGCUGCCCCCAAGGGUUUUGGAAUAUUUGGGAUUUUAUAGGGCGAAGAAGGGGUGCGGCAGGCCACCGAGGUGGGCACAACCCACCUGGGCGCGCCUGGGGGCCCAGACGCGCCCUGGUGGGUUGUGCCCCCCUCGGGGCACCCCCAAGGUGCUGCUCUGGUCCAUCCUGAGUGUUCUGGUCCAUAAAAAAAUCCUCCAGGAGUUUCGCAGUGUUUGAACUCCGUUUGAUAUUGAUUUCCUGCGAUGUAAAAAACAAGCAAAAAACAACAACUGGCACUGGAUCAAUAGGUUAGUCCCAAAAAAUGAUAUAAAGUUGCUAUAAAAUGAUUGUAAAACAUCCAAGAAUGAUAAUAUAAUGGCAUGAAUACUUCAUAACUUAUAGAUACGUCGGAAACGUAUCAAUGCUCUACAUUUUCUUGUCUGGUAAUCAAGUGGUCAGAGUAAAAUAGUGGUGGUGUAGUUUUGUCUUGGAGGUGCUUUUUCAUUCUUCUUCUGGUGCAUCAACCUUUACUAAAGAUCAACAUGACAUAUGUCUCGGGAACCUCCAUGGGGGAGGCUCUUCACCCUUUGCCCUCGGUUUUGGCAAGGCAUGUGAAGAAGAUGGUGGCCCCAACAUCUUUGACGAGGUUGUCAUUUGUACAAGGACCCAACUACGUUAUCUGUAUCGUUCUAGGCCCUAAUGGGAGGGCUUUUAAGUAAUUGCACUUUCGUUUAGGCCUUUCUUGUAGUGAUGUGUCAUAUUUGCUAAUUCGGUGUCAACUUCUGGGACCACCGAGUUGUUAAAGAAGAGCAAUGCAAUGCACCGGCUCUUAUAGUUAGACCGAUGAAAUACUACACCAUGAGAAGCCCUUCGAGAGAGAAGAUAACUAUGGUUUGUUAGAUAUAGAUUCAUGCCUACAUUUUUCCUUCUUUAAAACACCUGAGCAGUUGACAACUCCUAAGUUGAUAUAUCGCUUCCUUUCUUCCUUGAACAAAGGCGACCAACUCCCCUCUCGCUCCAUCAGCGAGGUUGUGGGUUCUUUUCUCCUAUGAUUGCCGCUCCAACGAUGGAAGGUCCGGGGAAACUCCGUCCCGCUGCCUCAACUAUGGUUGAGAUUCAGAUUAGUUUGUCCGACAUGGGCAUUAGGAUAGCAUUGCCGCCUAUGUUUGGAAAAAAAAAUCCCUGACCCAGCCCAUCCCGACGACGCCCCAGGUGGUGAACUUGAGGGGUUGUCCUUGGGAGCCUUAUUCCAUCGUUCGCUUGGUGCGAUGGAUCAAGUGGUGCUUGUUAUGUAUGCUGUUGAUCCGGUCUUGUGUGGCGCCGUCUUUAUUUGGGGGAAAGACAAAGGUCCAAGAACAUUCUGGCUCGAUGAUAUCGACAACAUGCGAUGGAUCCCAUGUUUCGAGGAGCAGUCCGAUGAUCCCUGGAUGAUGCGCAACAAUAACAAUGGCCUUGCCAAUGGCAAACCUCUUCUUCGGCUCACAAAGGCCUAUCCAGACGAUGGUGCUUUUUGGUCUCCGACGACAACUAGUGGUGAGGAUGCAGGUUGAAGAAAUUUAAAAGGGCUUUAGUGUCGUUUUACUUUCGCGGGGAGUUUUUUUGCAAAUGUUCCUCAACAUCCGUCUCCUCUCGCCAUCUCCCAUUGUUUACGUGGGUCGUGUUGUAAUUUGACAUUUGUCUGCUGGUAUGUGAAAAUUCCUAAAAAAAGUCUCGAAAUAUGAUUUGUACAAGGAAAUGAUGUCUGCUAGAACUAUGUCGGUAUUUCCCCAAAGAGGAAGGGAUGAUGCAGCACAGCGACGGUAGGUAUUUUCCUCAGUGAUGAGACCAAGGUUAUCGAACCAGUAGGAGAACACGCAACACAAUGUAAACAACCCCUGCACACAAAUAACAAAUACUCGCAACCCAACGUGUUAAAGGAGUUGUCAAUCCCUUUCGGGUAAUGGUGCAGGAAAUUGGAAAGGAGACGUGAUAAAGUUGUAAUAGAUAGGAUAAAUAGAUCGCAAAUAAAAUAAAGUACAACAAGGUAUUUUUGUAUUUUUGGUUCAAAGGAACUGAAAAUAAAAAUAAAGGAAAAUAGAUCGCGAAGGCAAAUAUAUUAAAGAAGAGACCCGGGGGCCGUAGGUUUCAUUGGUGGCUUCUCUUGAGGAAAUAAGCAAACGGUGGGAAAACAAUUACUGUUGGGCAAUUGAUAGAACUUCAAAUAAUCAUGACGAUACCAGGCAAUGAUCAUUACAUAGGCAUCACGUUCAAGAUUAGUAGACCGGCUCCUGCCUGCAUCUACUACUAUUACUCCAUACAUCGACCGCUAUCCAGCAUGCAUCUAGUGUAUUAAGUUCAUGGAAAAACGGAGUAAUGCAAUAAGAACGAUGACAUGAUGUAGACAAGAUCUAUUUAUGUAGAAAUAGACGCCAUCUUGUUAUCCUUAAUAGCAACGAAACAUACGUGUAGUUUCUCCUUCUGUCACUGGGAUCAAGCACCGUAAGAUCGAACCCAUCACAAAGCACCUCUUCCCAUUGCAAGAUAAAUAGAUCAAGUUGGCCAAACAAAACCCAAAUAUCAGAGAAGAAAUACGAGGCUAUAAUCAAUCAUGCAUGUAAAAGAUCAAAGAAGACUCAAAUAACUUUCAUGGAUAAAAACAUAGAUCUGAUCAUAAAUUCAAAGUUUCAUCGGAUCCCAACAAACACACCACAAAAAAACUUACAUCGUAUGGAUCUCCAAAAGACCAUUGUAUUGAGAAUCAAGAGAGAGAGAUAGAGAGAGAGAGGAAGCCACCUAGCUACUAACUACGGACCCGUAGGUCUACAAAGAACUAUUCACGCAUCAUCGGAGAGGCACCAAUGGACAUGAUGAACCCUUCCGCGAUGGUGUCUAGAUUGCUGGUGUUUCUAGAACUUGCGGCGGCUGGAAUUGAUUUUCGUUGACUCCCCUAGGGUUUCUAGAAUAUUGUGGUAUUUAUAGAGUAAAGAGGCGGUGCGGGAGGACACCGAGGUGGGCACAACCCACCUGGGCGUGCCUGGGGGCCCAGGCGCGCCCUGGUGUCUUGUGCCCCCCUUAGGCUCCCUCUCCGUUACUUCUUCGGCCCACUGGAUGUCUUUUGGUCCAAAAAAUCCACAAAAAAUUUCACUGCGUUUGGACUCCGUUUGAUAUUGAUUUUCUGCGAUGUAAAAAACAAGCAAAAUACGACAACUGGCACUGGGCAAUAUGUCAAUAGGUUAGUACCAAAAAAUGAUAUAAAAUGACUAUAAAAUGAUUCUAAAACAUUCAAUAAUAAUAUAACAGCACGGAACAAUAAAAAAUUAUAGAUACGUUGGAGACCUAUCAGAAAACAAAAGAAGUCUUAGGGGAAUCGUACAAUCGGAUCUUCGUCGGCUUUUACUAGCAUGCCCGUAAGAGCAUCUAUAGAAGAUGUAAAUUUUGAAGAUGUAAAAGUAGGUGUUGUAUAAUUUACAUCACUAAAAAGUGGUUUUUACAUCUCCAAGAAGACCCAACUCCAACAAAUGAUGCAAAACGGAGAUGUAAAACUGCAACUCCAAUAAGUGAUGUAAACUGGAGAUGCAAAAUCGGCCGGCCGCCGUGCGGCUGCUGUUCAUCUGCGAACGGCCGCAUUUUCACAUCAAAUUUUCAUAAUUGUAGUAACAAAAGUACAUCAUCGAUCAUAGUUUUAAAUUCUACAAGCAAAAUUUAAUUGUCUCAAACGAAGUUGUUAGUCCAACAAAUGAAAAUGCACAUAGACGUCACUCAAUUUGCGUCCUCUCCAUUCUCACUAGUGUCAUUGUCGACGGUGGUCUCAUCAUCAUCAACGACUUCUUUCUCGACAUUUUCUUGUGUUGAAUUCUCGUUGCCACGAACUCCACCGGAAGCACCUUCAUUGCCAUCUCCCAUGCCGGUCAUGGUGCCACCGAAGCCACCUCCCAUGCCACUCAUCAUGUUGCCACCGAACCCACCUCCCAUGCCACUCAUCAUGUUGCCGCCGAAGCAACCUCCCAUGCCACUCAUCAUGUUGCUGCCGAAGCCACAUCCCAUGUCGGCCAUGUUGCCGCUGAAGCCACUUCCCAUUCCACCUCCCAUUCCUCCGAAGCCACCAUCCAUGUUGCCACCAAAGCCACCUCCCAUGUUUCCACAAAAUGCACCAUUCAUGGCACCACCAUCAUGUUCAUGUACCCUCCCAUUACACCUCCCAUUCCGCCUCCCAUCAUGCUUCUCAUGAACAUUUUCUUCUUCAUCAGCAUUUCAUCGCGACAAAGUUCGACAUACGCCUUUGCCUUGACAUCAAGAGUGGAUGUGUCCAUGAACAUAAACUUGGGUGCCUUAUCCUCCACUAUCUUCAUCUCCUCGGCCCCUGCCUUUCUCUCCUCAAGCUCAACUUUUCUCUCCUCGGCCGCUGCCAACCUCUCUUCGGUCGUCGCCCUCUUCUCCUCGGCCGCCGCCCUCUGUCGCUCGGCUUCACUCCUCUCCUCAAUUUCUUUGAGCUUCAACAAUUUUCUUCUUCCGCAUACUCUUUCCUCGCCAUGACAAUGGCAUCAAAUCCAUCCUUGAGAUCAUUGUCUCCGCCCUUGGUCCCCUUCAACACUUUCUUAGUUCCAUCGGGCCUAUAUGAUUUGGUCGCCGAGUGAGGAGUGGGGCUCCUUCUCUCCUCACCCGGGGCAUCUUCAUCAUCCUCCACCACCACACUUUUCUUCUUGGAAGCAUAAAAAACUUCUCUAGUUUUUCACUUCUUCUCAUCCUUGAGCUCUUUGUAGCAAUGAUGGAAAGUGAAAGCUUUUCCUUUCUUCUUCCUCUUCUCUCGUUUGUUGUUCCUCUCUCGAAACAAUCCUUGUGCAAUCAUUUUGUACAACAAAACAAUCAAGAUGUCAUCAACAAAUUAGUGAACAUUUCAAUAUUUUGUGGAAAGUGGAGAAAGCACACAUGAAUAGCAAACGAUUAUUACCAAGUCACUUUCAUCACAACCACUUGAGUCCAUGCGAUCAACAUUUGCCAAGCAACCCACCCACUUUUGACAUUCCGCGUUGAUGGUGCCCCAACGUUGGCGAAUGGAGUCACUUGAGCGAUAGUGGCCGCUAGUGUUGUGCGCAUCAAAGAAUUCCUUGAUGUGUUGCCAAUAUGUGACGGCGGAUUGGUCGGUCCCAACGUUUGCAUCUUGAGGUACUUUCUUCCAAGCGGUGCAAAUCAACAGAUCUUCUUUGUUGGUAUAAUUUGUGGUUCUUCCCUUCAAAACAAAGCCCUCAUCAUCCAUGUCAAGAUUGUCAUCACCAUAUUGUGGAGUUUCAUAUUCUUGUGAUGCAUACUCAUCACGUGAGUACUCAUCAUUUGUCACAUUUUGUGGCGCGCAUGAAAGCUUCAUCAUCGAGACUACAAAUGCACAUACACACAAUCAACUACACAUUCUAUUGGAAUCGAUAAUUGGAACAACAAAGAAAUGCACAAGAUUUUUUUUACCUUUGCGACAUAUCACCGAACACGUUGGAUGCCGUAGCCAUCGGCGUGGACACAUCUUCCUCCAUGGCCGGCGGCGGCGUCGGAGGAGGUGGAUGAGGAGCAUCGUGGCCGGAUGAGGACGCCAUGGUCGCCGACAACUGCAAAACGACUGUCGAAACCGCAUCCGGCUUGGACAUUUUCGCCGGCCGACCUUGGUUACCCGCCAGGUUGCGGCCCUGCGCCGCUGGUCGCUUGACGCCUCCACUGCGAGGGCGCCCCCCUUCUUCUUUGCGGCCUCCAGAGUGACGGCGACCGUCCGGGGUGGGGCGAAUUGGCGCGGAGGCGACUGCCACGACGGCGGCAUGGGGGCGGAGGCGGCCGCGUUGGGGAUAGGUGGUGCGGAGGCGACGAGCACGGCGAGGUGGGUCAGGGCACCAGCGGCGGGGCCAUCGCCGUCGGCCAUGGCGGCGGCGGGAGGCGGGCGGGCGGGAGUCGGACGAUGGCUGGUCGCGCGAAAGGGGAUAGAAGUGGCAGUUGGGCGGUUGGCGGGUGGACGCGAUUUUACAUCUCCUGGAGUUGGAGAUGUAAAUUUGCACUGCGAAGUGGUAUAGUUUACAUCUUCGGGAGGCGGAGAUCCCAGAGAUGUAUCUUUUUUUUAACAUCUACAUCAUCUGUUGGAGUAUUGUUUUUGGCCUCUAAAGAUGCAAAAGUUAAUUAUUUUACAUCUACAUCACUUAUUGGAGAUGCUCCAAGAAGAUUAUCCCCCAAACUAAACUGUGUAGACAUCUGGAGCGUAGACAAUCCUUGAGACAAGGGUAUUACUGCCAAGACUGGAGGUGACGGGGACGCAAGACCCGGGAAGCAGGCCACCUCGUCACCGCUCCUUCCAUUGGUCCGCGCCCACGCACGCCGACAGUUUCCUGUCCUACCCCUCGUCGCUAGUCGUUGCUUGCUCCGAUUUUCCACCCACAAUCCGGGCCAAAACACCCGGGGAGCGAAGCAAGAAACCGAGGGCUCUCCUCCCAAGCGCGGAUCUACCAGCCUACCCCUACCAGGGCGCGGGCCGCGCGAGGCUCUGGCCUUCCGCUCCUCCAGCAUGAGGUAAGCUCCUGGCUCCACUCGCGGUGGCUCCUCUCCUCCCCCUUCGAUUCCAGCACUGCUGCAUAGAUAGCUUCGUCAGGCCAAUGGGGAAUUUUCGUUAAUAUACUAGCUCUAUGCGUGAAUGGUGUUCAUUUGACACCCAUCUCGACUUAAUUAGGCCAAGAUAGGGGAUUUUUCACUGAUUGUAUGCGUUACCCGGUCGAAUGAGGCUGGAUGGAGCAGGAUUAAUUAGUGGAUCAGGCUCUGUAUCCGCUGAAAGCAGAUGCGGAGAUGUGUAUCUGAGCAAUGCAUUCAGGUGCCCGAGGGAGCGACUCGGAUGUGCGUUUGGGGAAUGCCAUUUUGAUUGAUGGCCGGGGUGAAUCUGAUCCAGGGACGCCAGCCGCAAGCUCGAUCCCGUUGACCUUAGCCGUGCGGUCUGGUUGCCUGCUCCACUAAGUGCAAGCCACACGAAUCUGGUAGUGGUAUCUGUGAGGCUGCGCUCAGCUCCCUGCACCUGCAGAAUGCUAGAGAUUCAAGUGAGACAGAGGAACGUUAUCGUUGUCGAUCCGGUUCUCAGAUCCUUGAGUGAAACAGGGAUAUUCUUGUUCUUCCAUUGUCACUGCCUUCCCUUUUCGGAUUCUGAUGUAGCCUGAAAGCGAGGAUCUCAUGACAACCACCACCACGGCUGACUCUUGGUACCCCUGUGAGAUCACGUUAAGCACCAUGUGAUCGGCAUAUAUAGCUUUGUUUUUGAUGGAUUGGCCUGUUAACUAAUAGUACUAGGUCCUGAGUUUCAGUUCCAGGGGAGACACUUCGUUCGUUUAAACCAACUAGUAUAGCAGUUCAAAUACUCUACUUUGCAGUUUUGUGUGGAAAUCUUUGAAUGUUGCCUCAUCACACCCUUGCAGUUAGUGGCAAACUCACCUGAUAUAUUUGUAUAUAUCUAGUUCUGUUUUACAUAUGUAUUCCUCGGUUUUAUACGUAUAGUUUGAAGCAUGAAAAACAGGAACCCUUCUAGGUAUUAUGUCUACAAUUCCCAUGUGGUGUGAAUGCAAUUAACUUUCUGGAGCAUAGUUCAGUAUUCAUUCAUUACAACCGUUUCAUUGUAGAUCUUUUGCACCCAUCUGCCACGCCUCGAAACAUACUGUGCACAUGUGAGAUACCCUAUAGAUCCUUGCUAAGGACUUAAGGAGUGAAUUUAAGCUUAAUUGCACUGAUGAUGUGAAUAGUGGAUUGAAACAUGUCUAUUCUGUUGUGUCACAGAAAUAUCCCCAGGAUUCUGUUAGUGUCAUGUGGCAUCCAUCGGGGUAUAUGGAAUGUUUACCUAAUUAUUAUUCUGCCUUCUUUCAGGGGAAAAAAGAUGAUAUAUGGAUUCUCCAUCUCCCUUAUCCUCAUCAACCUGGCUUCCAUAAUGGAGCGGGCUGAUGAGAAUCUCCUCCCCGCUGUUUACAAGGAAGUCAGUGCCGCCUUCGAUGCUGGUCCCACUGAUCUGGGGUACCUUACGUUUAUUAUGAACUUUCUGAAGUCCAUAGCAUCUCCCUUGGCAGGUGUCCUUGCUCUUCAGUAUGACCGCCCCACUAUUCUUGCAAUCGGAACUGUCUUCUGGGCUCUAUCAACAGGGGCCGUUGGUGUCAGCCAGUACUUUCAGCAGGUUGCAUUCUGGAGAGGUGUAAAUGGUAUCGGACUUGCCAUUGUCAUACCAUCACUUCAGUCCUUCAUUGCUGAUAGCUACAGAGAGGGCACCCGUGGCGCCGGAUUUGGUUUGUUGAGCCUCAUUGGCUCAAUAGGUGGUAUAGGAGGAAGUAUUGUGGCAACAGUUAUGGCUGGAAGGGAUUAUUGGGGAUUUCCUGGAUGGCGGUUUGCAUUUAUUGUGGUCGCGUUUGCAAGCUUGUUGAUUGGGCUUCUUGUUUACUUUUACACCGUUGAUCCUAGAAAAACAUCUCCAGGAAAUUUUGGUGACGACGACACCAAUGAGAGGUAUGGUUUUCUUCAGAUUUUAGAUAAAUUCUUUGAUAGACAUUUAAUAGUACAAAUGUAUCAUGAAAGCGUAAUUAGCAUGUAUAGUAUUGUUGGUGAUCAAGUGCUGACAUUUUUUUUCUUCUGUUUUCAUAUCAAACAUUAUGCUUGCAACUUUUCUCAUUCAACUUCCUCUCAGCUCUAAACUAUCCAGCUGAGCUGGAAUUUUGAGGAAGUGUACCCUGUUUUCUUUUUCUAAGCUGAUGUGUUGGAUGACCACUUGAUUCUACAUUAACUUUCGAUGUAACAGUACGUGUAUCUGUCCUUAAAGCAUAAUGUUGCUAUCUCAUGUAAAUGGCAGGUCGCGUUUGGUUGGUAACAGUGUUUUCCCUCCACUGUCCAUCUGGAACGAUUCAUGGAUAACAGCAAGAUCUGUCAUGAAAGUGCGGACAUUUCAAAUCAUCGUCUUGCAAGGCAUAGUCGGCUCCUUGCCAUGGACUGCUGUCGUUUUCUUCACAAUGUGGUUUGAGCUAAUUGGUACGAGUACAAACCAACGGAUAUUUCCAAUAUUUGAAUUGACAAUAACUCCUUGCUGGAGUUAAACAUUAACAAAGUCUUGAAACCUCGUAGGUUUCGAUAACAAAAGCUCGGCGGGGUUAAACAGCCUAUUUGCCAUCGGCUGCGCGAGUGGAUCAUUUCUUGGUGGAGUAAUCGCAGACCGUGUGUCAAGACGCUACCCGGAUUCAGGUCGCAUCAUGUGUGCUCAGUUCAGUGCCUUCAUGGGCAUCCCUUUCACAUGGAUCCUCCUCACGGUCAUCCCGCAGUCAGUUGACUACUGGUACAGCUAUGCUGUCACGCUGUUCCUGAUGGGGCUCACCAUAAGCUGGUGCGCCACCUGCGCGAACAACCCGAUGUUCGCAGAGGUGGUCCCUCCCAAGCACCGCACCAUGAUCUACGCGUUCGACCGCGCGUUCGAGGGCUCCUUCUCGUCGCUGGCUGCUCCCGCUGUCGGCAUGGUGACCGAGAAGGUCUACGGUUACAACGCGAAGACUGUGAACCUGGCGGACGGGUCAGUGGCAGGGGCAUACGCACUCUCAAGAGGGCUGUUGACCAUGAUGAUCGUUCCAUUUGGUCUGUGCUGCCUGUUCUACACUCCGCUGUACUUCGUGUUCAAGCGUGACCGCGAGAACGCGAGGUUGGCGGCCAGCGCCAAGGAUCUGGAGCUAAUGUGAUGCUCGACGUUUUUUUUACCAGUUUGUUGUUUCAGUUGCAGUAUUCGUUAAUGCGGUUAGUUGAUUCAGUUUGGGGUUGAAAUGGUGCAGUUGACAGAAUACAGGUUUCACCUUCUUGAGACAGAUGAGAAGUACACCUUCAGACACAUGAAAAGAAAUACGUGAGUACACCUUCAGACAGAUGACAAGAAAUACACGGGUAGAGACAGUGAUUUUAAUUUUGCCAAUUAGAGAGGAUAUAUAUUGUACUAAAACAUUGUGUAGGUAAAUAAAUGGCAGCUGUCAUGUUCAAUCUCACCGCGCCUAGGAUUUAUUUUUCUUUUGUCUCCUGUAAUCCUGAACUGAAUUUUUAGAUGAAGAGGGCGUUGCCCCUGAUCCUGAACUAGUGAACUUGGUUAAGCAAGAGGAAUGAACAUUCAGUCGGACGACUGGAUUUGUAUUUGCCUCCGGCAUUAUGUUUUCUUGUGCAGAAGCUGCAUCAUUUGAGUUCAGACAACCAAAACAUGCAUCCACCACAACUUUGUAGUAUGGUUUCUCUUGAUACAAAUCGUGGGAGACCCUUUUCUCAAACAGAAAACUGCAAGAUGAACCUUUUUAUUUUUUGCGUGGGAAAAAGGAUGUACAACUGUUACGGCUAUAACAAAUGUAGGAUGCCCAUGCUUUCAAAUGGAGAAUAUCAGGCCUUGAACUAAGUAUUGAAGGCAUGCAGGACCAAAUUCAUACUAGUAUUUUAAAGAAUAUAAACUGGACAACUUUAAAACAUGUUUUGCUUCAUUCUCUACUUCAGGCAGAUGAACUGUAGAAUUAGAGAGCAUAAAUUUUAGGUAGAUGAAGAAAUGGCAACCAUCUCCUUUUAUUAUCCUGCCUAAACCUGCUUAGGAUCAGUGUAGUUUGUGGGGUAUUUCUCACGAGAGUUUUGGUAAAAAUACAACCUCUGAAAGAAAAAAGGAUAAUCAUUUCUUUUCAGAGCUCCGUUCCUCAUCCUUUUGUAACGCACACCACUCGUCUUUCAUCCAGUCCCACGCCCACGGCGCACAUGGCAAGCGCCUACCUCUCAAGCUUCCGGCAGGCCGCCCCCACCGCCACCAGCGGCGGCGCCGGCGCGUCACCGAGGCCGAGGCCAAGAGCGGUGGCAUGCCACGCCUCCGAGCCGUCGGGCACGGGCAGGCGUUCAGCUUGCCUCCGCCUCGGCAUCGGCCUCGCCACCGCCGCCAUGCCUGUGCUCCACACCGCGCCCGCCCGCUCCACCGCUGACGCCGACGAGGACCCGGAGCCGGCCAACAACGGCUGGUGGCUCACCGAGUUCCCCUUGCCGGUGCCCAAGAUCCGCAACAGUACGUACACGCCAACCUUCCCAUACACACUCCUACCAUAUAUAGCACCUCUAUCAUCCUCAAAGACUUUCAUGGCGCAGAGGAGAUCAACAAUGGCGAGUCGGGGACGCGGUCCUUCGUGAAGAACGGCAUCUACAUGGCCGACAUCGGGCCGAGCUUUGCGGCGCACGCCUACCGGAUACGCAGCUCCGCCUUCGACCUGCUGGCGCUGGAGGACCUGCUCGGCAAGGAGGCCUCCAACUACGUCAACAAGUACCUCCGCCUCAAGGCCACCUUCAUCUACUACGACUUCGACAAGCUCAUCACCGCCGCCGACCCUGACGCCAAGCCGCCGCUCCUCGGCCUCGCCAACCGCCUCUUCGACAGCUUCGAGAGGCUGCAGGCCGCCGUCACCACCAAGGACGACGCCGACAUCGGGUCCUGCUACGCUGAUACCAAGCUCAUCCUGCAGGAAGUCAUGACAAGAAUGGCCUAGCUGGCUAGCUUGCUCGCUAGGACAAACACUUCUUUAAUUUUCUCUGAAUGUACAUUUAGUAAUGAUACUGAGAAAUGCCAUGAUUUUAGUCAUGAACAAUUGCCAGAGAUACCACACAGUUAAUGGAAUGCUUCUUCCGAGCGAUUAGUCAGAGUUAAUUAUGUGAAUGCUCUGCGUUUUUUUUUUGAACAGUUCCAUGUUUCAGUUGCUGUGCUCGUUAACCAGUUAGAGUUGAUUCAGUUUGGACUUGAAGACAGAGUACAGGUUUCACCUUUUUCAGAUAGAUGUAAAGUACACGAAUACAGACCACCUUCUUCAGUUCGGACAGAGGAAAAGUACACAAGCUCAGACUGUGUCUUGUUGCUUUGCUGUCAAACUUUUGGUAAUUUUAACUACAUAUACUAAAUCUCCAAACAAAAUUACCCUUUACCCCUUACCCAAAUAACUCCAGGAUAUAUUUUCUGUUGUUGUCUGAAAACGUGGACCUAAGCAAGACUGCAAGAGAAACAUCCACACUGACCAAUGGUGAUACUAUUUGCAGAGGAUGUAACAGCUAUACUCAUCUGGUAUGGUACCUAAAGUAGCUCUAUUUGCAGAAUAACUCCAGUAUAUGUUGUUACAGUAAGUUCAGAGAAGCAUAGAGAAAGACAGGAUCGUAUGGAUUGACUUGCUCCUACAAACAGUUUCAAGUUCCAGCCUUCUUAAUUGCCUCUCUCCAAUCCAAAUUCAUAUCAAAACGGCAAAACCUUGCAUGACUACAGUCAAAGUACAGUUGCUUCGACCACUGAUUAAGCCCCAAACACCAUCCACACACAUCCUAGCAGCUAAUUAAGUACUAGUAGAAGUUUUGGAGAACUAAAUAAAGAACUAACCUGGCUACGGCUCUACUUGCUUCAUAGAGAAAGACAUGAUCAUACAGCUUGACUUACUCCUGCAACAUUUUGAUGUUUCACGUUCCAAUCCUUUUGAUUGCCUCUCCCCAACCCAGAUUUCAUAACAAAAAUACAAAAUAGUGCAUGAUUGCAGCUAAGGUAGCUCCGACCACAGCUCAGGGCAUCUCCAGCCGCGUCCCCAACAGGCCCUCCCCAAGCGAUUUUGCCGCGCCGGCGCCAAAAAAAGGCCCCAGUCGCGCCCCCAGAAGCCUGUUUUUCGCCGGCUCGGGCCAAAACUGGUGCCGGCGGACCCAGGCCGAACCCGGCGCCCUGGGGGGGCGCUUGGGGAGCCGGCGCAAGCGAAAAAGGCGCGUGGGCCCACCCUGGAAGCGACCCGAGGGUCUUUUCCCGCCAUUUCUUGACGCUUUUCCCUCGCAUCUCUCCCGCUCGCUCGCCUUCCUCCCGCCAUUCUAUCCCUUUCUCCCGCCAAACCCCCUCCCGCUCGCCGCGAAGAAGCACGCCAUGCCGCCGAAGAAGUACGCCAUGCCGCGCGCGGCGGCAACCGCGACUGGCGCCGUGGUCCAGCCGAAGCAGAGGAAGCCGAGGGCGCCGCCAUCGAAGCCACCGGGCCUGUCGAACGCCGAGUGGAGGGUGGAAGUUCAGCGGCGCGAAGAGGUCACCGCCGACAGGCGGAACAGGGCCAUAGCCAAGAAGGCCCGCGACAACGCGGCGCGCGCGGCGGCGUCUUCCUCAUCGGUCGACCAGGCGGGGAUGAAUCCACCCGUCGUCAGCCACGCCCAGUACGCGCCCUGGGGACAGCAAGGCGCCGGAUCUCCAUGGGGUUCAUCGUCGCCCGGCUACGCCGAUGGCGACGCGCACGGCGGGUUCAACCCAAACGUGACCUUCCCUCAUGGUCACCCCGCUACGCGCACGCCCUCGCCCGCCUUCGUCGGCGUGCAGUACCCUCCAUACAACUACUUGUCGCCCGCCUCCUACGCGUCCACACCGACGCCCCAUCUCUACCGCGGACCGCUACCCUUCUCGCACCUCGGCGACACCGACGACACGGGAGCCGACAUGGACGACAUCAUCGCGACAGGAUCGACCACGGCCGCCGAGUCUCCCGGGUUCGCCACCAAGGACGAGGUAGUGGACCUCAACGGUGACAUGGAGGCCGAGCUCGGCUACGUCUACGGCGACGACGCGCAGGAACCCGAGGAGGAGGAGGACGAGGAGGAGGAGGAGGAGGAGGAACCGGCUCCUGUUCCGACGAAGGGGCGCCAGAAGAAGAAGAAGCGGGCGGCUAGGUCAGGUGAACCGCGCAUCAAGUGGACGUCCAAGGAGGAGGAAUGCCUCGCCGAAGCAUGGAAAGUCGUCUGCCUCGACCCGACCACCGGCGCGAACCAGAGCUUGGACACGUACCGGGACCGCAUCAAGGCCGAGUUCGACGAGCGGAAACUCGUCGACCCCUACUUCAAAGGCGUGUACAUGCAGCGCGGCUCCAAGGCGAUGGCGAACCAUUGGGGGCGUAUCCAGUUGGCGUGCAACAAAUGGCAUGGAAUCGUCGAGGAGGUCGCGGCUCGCCCGGAGAGCGGUGCCAGCAUUGAGGAUCAGGUACGCACGCCGUUCGCCCGCAUAUCUUCGUCCCCUACGCCCGCCGCCCGCCAACUGUUUGUCUCUCCGCGCAGCUGCUGCAUAUGUUCGCCAUGUAUCGGGGCGACAACCAAGACGCCGACUUCAAGCACCUCCACAUCUACAAGCGCAUUGACAAGUGCGAGAAGUGGGCGGAAGUCCGGCGUGCCCUCGACAAGGCCAAGGAGACAUACAAGCCAGACGCGACGACUCCGGGCGCGUCAGAGGGACGGCCGGACGGCCACAAGUUGGCAAAGAAGGGGAAAAGCGCCGACGCGGCAACCACGCGAGUGCAGGAGUCCAUCGAGCAUUGCCUCGCCGACGCCCAGGCCCGGGCCGUCCUACGCGAAGAGAAGACCGAGGCGCGGUGGUCGUCGCUUAUGAAGAACAACGCCAUCAAGCUCGACCUGCUCCGGACGAACGUCGCCGCGAAGAAGAGGAACACCGACAUGGCUUUUCUGAUGAGCGGGGCGGACAUGCUCGAGAGCAACGACGAGAAGCUCAAGGCGUAGUACCUGGUGCAGCGCGGACUCAUCCUGAACGAGCUGCCGACGGCAACGCCGACGACGCCGAUGACGCCCACGACCACAUGGACGCCAAGCCCGGACGGCGCCUCUACAUCGCCGCCCAGCAGUGCCGAAGCCGCGCCGACGCAGCCCUGCGACGAAGCAGGUCCGACACCGACGAGCCCGCGCACGCCGACUCCGCCAACGCCUGGAGCCGACCAAGCCGAGUGAAUCGUUGCACACGGCGGCCCUCUGUUUUUUGUAACGCCAGACUACGUCCGAUCGCCGGAUUUGCGGCGUCUUUUGAGAGCGGGAACGACCAAGUUUGAAUUUCCCGCAUUCUGGGGCCGGUGCGUAGGGGCGUGACUGGGAGCUAGGUCGCCCCAGGGGCCGAACUAGCGCCGGCACGCCCCAAGGCCGCUCUAUUUAGGCGCCCUGGGGGGCCGAACGGCUGGAGAUGCCCUCAGGCCCAGUACAAUGCUAGACAUGCAUCACAUUCCCUGAAGAACUAUCUACUCAUAUGAUCAUAUCUACUUAACCGAAGAACUGCCGGCCACGGCUCUAAUUAAAAGAAGCAAGCUUGUUGGAGCUUGAGAUUCAUCAAGCGGCCUCAACCUGGGCCUGGAAGAGAGGCACGUACUGUCCAUUGGCGUCGUACGAGUGUGAGCGGUGCCAAACCCUGAGGAUCUCGACGGGGACGACGCUGGUGGAGCCAUACUCGUCGUAGUAGUCGAUGCGGAGCUCGUGGGGGAUCUCUCGAGGGUGCUCCAGCUCAAGGACGACGCGGACGGUGGCGAGGUCCGGCGCCGCGUAGCAGGCCGGAUCGAUCUCGCGCACGUACCCGAAUCUGCAGCAGUUGCUCUUGAUCCACUCCACCGUGCGCUGCUCGAUCGGGUAGUCGCGCAGGGCGGCGUGCACGAUGUAGUCGUUCGAGGCGCGCCGGACGCCGGGGGUCUCCUCAUCGCGCAGGAGCUUCACGGUGACGCCGUCGAGCACGAAGGGCUGCCGCCCCAGGGCCGCCUCCCGGAAGUCGGGCGUGCGGAACCUCACGGUCGCGUCGGCGCCGCGGGCGGGCGGGAGCAGCUCGAAGUUCUGCGGCAGGUCGAGGGCGAGGGUGCGGAAGACGCGGCGGAUGAAGGGCCCCGGUUUGGCGCGGCACGGGGCCUCCGGCGGGGUGAUGUAGGCGUACGCGAGGCGCCGCGCGUAGUACUCCGCCUCGGGGUCGGCGGUGAAGUUGAGGUACGCCUUGAUUCUUGUGGCCCGGGGUUCCGUGAGCAUCUCCGGCGGCAGGUAGACCGCGGUGGCGGCCGGAGGGAUGUUGCCAUAGGACGGGCGGGUUACGAAGGCGGGGCGGUCGGAGGGUGUAGGGAUCUCCAGCGCCGUCGCCCCGGGCGGCAAGGUGCGGUCGGCGCCGGCCGCCAGCAUCUUUUUCUGGUGGAGAAGGCAGUGGCGGCGCCUGGGUGGAAGCGCUAGGAAUUGCUGUCGCUAUAACGCAUCAUUCCUGUACUGUCAAACCAGUCCAGCGUCAAAGAAAAUUUAACCAAACUAGUGAGUAACUUUAUUUAUGUCCCUAUUACAAUGUUCGAACCUAGCUAUAUAGUAAAAUCACAAACAAGAUGGUAGCGAUCGUCGAAAAUCAUGGCAGCAACCCUCGAGUAAUGAUCACUCAUCUUCAUCUUUUUAAUGACCUCCAAAUUGUCAGAAUUAAUAACGAGAGAUUGCAUUAUAUCCUUUGCGCAAGGGCAAUACAGAAUAUGAGCGCCAAAACGUCAACCAUUAGGGCAUCCUCACAGUCGUCGAUUUUUUCAUUCCCUCCAGCGAUGAAGUUUCCUUUAUCGUCCCUUAAAACCGCCCCAUCGUACCCCUAAGCAAGUCUUGAUCAAAUGAAGCGUCAAGGUUAAAUUUGACAAAAGCCCUAGGCGAAGAUUAAUCCCUGUUUUCUCAUGGUAGCCUUUGGAUAGGACGACGGUAACAUAGUUUGCGGUAAUGGUGUGAGUCCCCGUAGUAACCUGAAAAGGAUCUUGAACUACCCCUUCAAGAACCAACUUAUGGCUUACCCACUAUAAAUACCAAACCGUAAUGGUGAUCAUCUCCCAAGCUUCCAGAAGGCCCAAGCUGGAUAAAUCCUGGCCUGGCAAUUGAAGUAAGAAUUUCAGGACUGCCUCACCAGCAUGGUCAACCUCACAGACUCUAUUAAUAAUUUGGUCAAUUCCUGGCCUUUUCCAAACAUCCCUAGCAAUAUUACCAUAGAAACAACAAGUGUUUUGUAUCCUCUGGACCAGCUGAACAAGGGGGACAUUUGGGGAAAACUUUCAGGUGUCUAUUGGCAAGAGUGACACGAUACAACAAGGUACCAUACAACAUAUGCCAAUUUUUUUUUUAACCUUUGCCGGACAAGAAAGCUUCCAGAUGUUACACCAAAUGGGGUUAAGAGUGGAGCGUCCCAUUCCAUUUGUGUGUUGUAGUUUCCUCCCAUGUUGGUGAUUCCACACAAAGUAAGCUGACCGGAUUGAAAACAACACAUCCUUUGUGUAACUCAAAGUGACAAAGUCAUCCAUGUAAAAAAUUAAAUAAACAGAAAAUGAUUCUCCAAAAAAACCGUUAGGAAAAACUAGCAGUGCCUGCUCGAAAAAUAACCGUCUACCAUUUUUUGACAGAUUUGAAAAAGUCAAUCAAUUAAAAAAUGCACUCUUCCAAGUACAAAUAUUAGAGUGUGGACUGACAAUUGGAUUCCGAGAAGGCUCUUUCGUGACCACGCGUUCCAACGCGCGAUCCACUUGGUGCCAUUGAUUGGCAUGCAAAGUGUACACAGAAAAGGUGCCGUUAGUUGAUCACAAGUUACUAAUAAAUAUUUUUAUUGAAAUCUUCUAAUUAAUCCCUCGACCAACCGUAGAUGCUGCUACUGAGAAACAUCGCAUGCAUAUGCAACUUCACAGGGUUAGUUAGGUCCAUGAAGCCAUCUGAAAUCUUCAGUUCCGCGGUAUGAUAUCUAUCGAUUUCUCUACAACUCAUUUGAUCAAUGUUCUUGGUAUCAAUCCAACACUAACCUCUCAAGAAGAUGUUCACUAACACAGCAGAAUUCUUAUCAUAUUUGCAAGUAUCAAAUUUGACCUUUAUCCAUAACUGUAAGCUUUUGACAUUCCUUUCUUGGUACCUUGCAGGUUUAGUUACUAUUUUCAAAUAAGUGGCAUCUAGCGACCCAUCUUUCAGGGAGUAUCUUUGAACCAAUAAACCUUGGGGGGCUUCAACAUCUUUCAGGACAUUGUGGGGUUUAUUUUGGGUCCGAAGAGUGUGUACAUAGAGAUUGACACAUUUAUGAUCCAACUUACAAUUUGUGUUAUGACAAAAGAAUCUUGCUGCGAGCAUUUAUAUUUGAGGAGAUGUUCUCGAGAAAUCUCCACCUUUUAAUUUUACUACUAUUUUGUUGGUUACAUGUAUGAAGCUAAGUAAUAACUUCUUGGUCUCUUGGAGUUUGAAUGGCCUUUUGCUGCUCAUGCUUAACUGAACUAUGCAACAUGGUUAUAUUGCCGUUUCUUUGUCACUAUCAUGGUUCGCACUGCAGCAAUGUUGAGGUAUUGUAAUAUAUUUUUGUUUUUUUUCAACAAUAAACUACGUUAAUGUAAACCUCUAAUACCAUUUAUUUUGCAGUGGGUUGCUACGAGUUAUUCCUUUUACCAAGGGAUCCUAGAUUGAGUGAUUUACCUGAUGUUAUUCAAUUUUAUGGUCUUUUCACUAUAUUCAGAAGCGGACUCUGCCGGAACUGUUCCAUUUCUUGGGCUAUAUUUCUAUCUUCACUCACGUUCUAGAUUGUGCUUUCUAACAUCUUAUUAUUUUAGGAACUUACAAUUAACUUCUUCAAACCGUCAUGAUUGCAAGUUUGUUGAUGUUCUGUUGAUGGUGAUGUUGCUUAAUGUAGAGGAUGCUUCAGGAUUGCCUAUUUUCCAACAAAUAAUGCACUACAUUCAGUGCCGGACUACAAAAAAUAUGGCUUCUACUUCUAACUACAACUACUAUAGUUUAAUAUACAAUUUAUAUUUACAAUACAAAUAUCAUUUCAUGGAAAUGUACUGUCUUAUAACUGAUUCCUACUAUUCUCAUCUUUUUGACGUGGAUUUUACUUUGAAAAUACACAACAGAUUCCCGCAGCAACGCGCGGGGUAUCAUCUAGUUGUACUAAAUGCACUGUGUAGAUAAGUAAAUAAACCUGCUCAGGGUCAGUGUAGUUUGGGAGUAUUUCUCAAGAGAGUUUUGGUAACAAAAGACAUUAAAAGUUAACUUUUAUUAGCUCAGAAAUAGUUAAUAAAUGACCAAUCAAAGAUUGCACCUUGAAAUUUCAACCUAACCAUACUAUUAUAUAUUUGAAGAAAUGUGAACAGGAUUUGAAGUUUGCAUCAAUUUGGUUUUGACUAGUGUCACCUCACCUCUAGUUGUAACUAGAUAUUACUAAAACUCCCAAUAGAGGAAAAGAAGAGGAAAACCUAGAUUUUUUGGCACUAUUCAUGCCUUCAGUUCAAAGGAAUGGGGCUAUUGAAAAAUAAGGAACUUUUCCUUUAAUCUUAGUUUCAAUGGGAAAAAAAGUAGGAAUUCUAACAUCCACUUGGAUCUCCUUUUCAAAUUCCUAUACAUGAAGAACGAGACCAAGAUGCCUAGUGGCAUAAUAGCAUUCUAACUAUACGAUUUCAUGUGGUUGACAUUGAUUUGAGUAUGUUUCGUAGGAUUCUUAUGUUUUUCCAAUCCAUGUGAACUAAACACUCAAGUUCACCAAUUCUCUGUUUUGUGCAUGCAUUCCUAUUCAUGUUCAUAUGUUUUCCCUAUUCUCGAGUUAGAAUUCUCCAAACCAAAGGCCCUAAGGUUUUUUUUUUGAUGAAAUUUUUUGUAUCUAGGGGAACCAUUGAUAUCAAGAGUAAGAAGUGCAGGAGAGCAAGAGAUACAAGCCUAAGGAUGCCCAUGCCACCCCUAAUUUGUUUCCAAGAGGAUUCAAAAGGCUAAUGCUCAUGGAGUUUCCCGAUAUAGCAUCACCUAAUAUCUAGUUUUUUUUAAAACCUGUGCUAAACCACCAAAAAAAUUGCAAAAUAUUUUUCUCAUAUCAUGUACUCCCUCCGUUCCUAAAUAUAAGUCUUUUUAGAGGUUUCAAAUGGACUACAAUAUACGUAUGUAUAUCGACAUACUUUAGAGUGUAGAUUCACUCAUUUUGCUCUGUAUGUAGUCACUUGUUGAAAUCUCUAAAAAAAACCUUAUAUUUGGGAACGAAGGGAGUAUUAAUGACAUACAUUUCAGAGAUGUGCACUAAUGCAAGUCAUGAGAGGCCAUUAACCUGGAUUAAUCCUACAAUAACCGCCUGCCCGAACAAGGAGUCCCGACACAACCUGCCAGAGAAAAAGGGCCAGUCGACCGAUGCCACAACCAUGCGGGCUAUACAAACGCGUUCACGGUAAACCUUUUAUUGGUAGUUUCAUUUUUCGAGCAGUCUGACAAAUAGAUUAAAAAAAUCCAGUGCCAUUUAUUUUCAUUUGGAACACUGUUUUUUUUGGGAAUGGAACGCUGAAACUUAAUUGGCACUCCCUCGUCCGGAAAUACUUGACAUCAAAAUGAAUAAAAGAAGAUGUAUUUAGACGUAUUUUAGUUCUAAAUACAUCCUUUUUUAUCCAUUUUGAUGACAAGUAUUUUCGGACGGAGGGAGUAGAAAAUAACGGAAUAGUUUCUCUAGAAUUCCAGCAAAGAAAAUGACAAAAUUGGAUAGCAUCGGCCUGGCCCCGGCUAUUGAUUUGGGCCGUUGGUUGGGCUCUCAGAAUUGCAUUAGGCCCGUUUUUUGAGGCUCUUCCUUCCUCCCGCCCGUGUUGUUCCCUCCAAAACCAACCGACGACCAACCGCAGAAGGAAUCUCUCUGCUUCGAUCGGUUGCAGCGGGACGGGAGACGCUCUCCUCUGCUGUCGUCGACUAUAUAGCUAGCCUCCCUCGCCUCGCCUCGCCUUCCUCCUCUCCUAUCCGCCCUCUCCCUCUCUUCUUCAUCUGGGGUAGUGCGCCGUGCGCCAGCGGUUCUUGGGCGAGAUGGCGGACAAGGGGAAGGGGAAAGCCGACGCCCGCUAUAAGCCAUGGCAGCGGCGGCGUCACGGUGCAGCGGGGACGGAGACUGAAGCCGUCGACGACACUGCCGGUACUUCGUCGCGGACUUCAGGGCGGACGGAGACUGCCGGCGGCGGCGGGACUCAGCAGGAGCUUCCACCCGGCGUCUCUUACCAGUUCAGUGGAGGUAGGUGCCCAAGAAACCGGCGUCCUUGGUUCUUGCGUUGGUGCCCGCUUCUUGGAUUGUAACAUCCGAUGCCUUUGUUUCUUGCAGCUCCCGGUGGCGGGGGCGGGACGGGGCUCUCUCAGUCGCAAUUGAGGAUACCUACGACGACGACGACGGUACAGCAGCCGCUGAGCAAUCAAGGUGCGUUCUCUCCCCUCCCAAGAAAAUGGCAAAAUUCUUUCUCUCUGCUUGUCCGUGCGCUUCUUGGUUCUUGACUGACGCCGGAGUUGGAUUUCUUGGUUUCUGUUGUGUAAUUGUGGUUGCAGCCCGUGGGAGUGCGCCCUUCGGCGGCCAGAACCAGAUCGCCAACCCACAGUUCGCUGGAGGUGGCGGCGGGGGUGGGUCAGGGGCGGGGUACGGGGGAUUCUCUCAGUUUGGUGUGUUCCCUCCCUCCCAAGUCCCAACCCAUUCUUGAUUUCUGUUGCGCAAAACUCUUUCUCUCCGGUUCAUCAUUGACGCCGGCCGGAGUUGGAUUUCUUGGUUUCUGUUGCGUAAUUCUCUCUGUUGCAGCCGGUGGAGAAUAAGGCUUGUUGUAUUCUAGUAAUAACAUGUGUGAGGAAUUAAACCUUGGUUUGUUGCAGCUCACGGGCACGGGGGAUUCUCUCAGAUGUAUUCGAGGCCACCGGCGGCGAUGCUCCAGCCGACUCUGGGCAAUAAUCCAGAUCCAGGUGCGUUCCGCUCCCAAGAAAAGCGCCAAAUUCCGUGUCUCUGGUUCGUGCGCGCGGUUCAUGGUUCGUUGACGUCCGACAUUGAUUUCUUGGUCUGUAAUUCUUUUGUAGCCUACACCGGGGAGGCUUCCACGGUACGGGAGUGCAGUAUUUGCAAAACGCCCACAGCAGGGCUGUGGACCGCGGCGACCGUGCAAGGUACACGGGUGGGAACCCCGCUGCCUUUGUGCGAUGCUUGCCACAGCAAAAUCUUCAGCUGGGACAGGCCUCUACAGCAUCUGCACCGAUAUCUUGCCACUACAGGUGGGUUGGGUAGCAUCGUGCUCGGUUCUUGCGCGCGUUGCCUGGGUGCCGGAUUGUUUGUACUAACAGCUAGCGGUUUCUUGCAGCUGUGGGUCGCGGCGCCGGGUCGAUACAUUCGUUUCUUACAGCUAUCGGUCGCGCCGGCGGGUGGGAUCAGGGGGACUUGGUUCUGGCGAUGAGGUUGCUCCCGCGGCCGCCGGGCGAUCAAGGUGCGUUCCCUUCCAUCCCAAGAAAUUCUCUCUCUCUCUCUGGGCUCUGGCCCAGUGGGCAGUGGCCCGUGCGUUCCUUGGUUCUUCACUGACGCCGGAGUUGGAUUUCUGUUGUGUGAUUCCUCUGUUGCAGCCGGUGGGAGUGCGCCCUUCUUCGGCAUCGACGUGCCGAGCGGCUACGUUUUCUUCUCCGGCGGCCAGAACCAGAUCGCCAGUUCCGACGGCGACGGGGUAAUUUUAAUUCAAUUUGCGAUGCAUUAUAUUAGUCACCAACUCACGAGUCACGACUGAUUGAUUUCUUCUCGGCUCUGUCUUUGCACCGGCACAGUCUGCAAUGAGCCCAUGGUGCGUUGUUUGCAACAAUGCCGCGGGCACGCUUUGGGACUGCCUGCCCAUCUGCGAGGCUUGCUACCACACGGCUCGCUACAACAGGGAGGUCUACAGGGCUCGCAUGCAGAUCGGCAAUGCCAGUGCGGCUCAGGCUCAGGCUCGGGCUGACGCUCAGGCUCUCAAGGAUCAGGCUUAUCAGGCUAUGGCUCAGGCUCUGGCUCUGGCUCAGGAGCAGGCUCUGGUUCAGAAGGCUCAGAAGGCUCAGCCUCAGCCUCAGGCUCUGGUUCAGAAGGCUCAGAAGGCUCAGGCUCAGGGUAUUGCCAUUGAUCAGCAGCGGCCAUUGAUCACGCUCUACCCCCGCCACGCCCCGCGACCAAGUGGAUGCCGUUAUUGCGGAUAUCGUCAUUGCGGGCUGCAGCCCACGUGCGAGACUUGCUGUAGAUUGAUGAAACUAUAAACUUGAGUAGAUCCAUCGAUGAAACUAUAAACUUGAGUAGAUCGACGAAACUAUACAUAUACUUGUAGGACUUGAUUCCUUGCCACUUAGUAGAUGAAACUAUACUUUGCUGGGGAUCGAUGGCAUUCAGUUCAGGGUGCAGUCUGACGCUUUAGUUUUGCCUGCCUUAUUUUAACUGGUUUUUGGCUCUUUGUGUUUGAUUCAUUUACUUUCAGUUCAACCAUAUGACUACUUAGAGUUUAGUUCCUACUACUGUUUACGUGUCCAGUUUACGCUUUUAUCUUUCUGGCCAAUACUACAUAUAACAGAUGUUAUCAGUCCUUUUAUAUCUUCCUGACGCUUUUAUCGUCGGUAAAUGAUUUGGCGUGUAGAAUAGGCUGUGGAUGCUUUGGUUUCCUGACGCUUUAGUUUUGCCUCAAGUGUUUGACUUUUGGUUCAACCAAAUGAGUAAUCAGAGUUUAGUUGCUACUGUUCUGGUGUACGCUUAUGAGUGAUGAUUAUUGUAAAUUCUAGUAAUAUGCUAUGGCCAAUAUAUAUAACAGAUUCAGUGCUGCAUAUGCUUGUCGUUCAUAAGUGAUUCAGCAUGGAGAAUAAUUAUGGCUGUGAAUGCUUUGGUUUUGCCUCGUAUGUUCGGCUGGUUUAAUUUCAGUUAAACCGAAUGAGUGCUCCAAUAAUUUAGUUUCAGUUGUCAGGACACUAGUUCUCUUUACUACAUGUCUCUGAACACACCUGAAGAAAUCGACACCUUCUCUGAAGAAUUCGACAGCAACCUGGGAGACGGGCGGCUAGGAGGCGCUCCAGCUAUGAAACAUCAACACCUCUAUGCUUGUGCUUGUUUAGAUACAGACUUGUGCUUGUUUCCUUGUCAGUGCUAUGGCAUCAGUAAAUAAAACUAUAUAUAUCCGUUAGUCUUUGGUUCUUUUCCGACUCUUCAAUUUUGCCUCAAGUGUUCGACUGGUUCAGUUUCAGUUCAACCAAAUGAGUGAGCUUCCUUGCUACUGAUUAUUCAGCUUAAGCUUACAUUUUACAAGUGAUCAUCAUUGCAAAUUCUUAUACUAGUUCUCUCAAACUCCCGUCUCUGAACAUAGCUGAAGAAAUUCUUAUACAAGUAUCAAGGCGCGAACCGGUUCAGUUAACUGAAAUUUUCUUCUUUUUCGGGGUAACAACGGCUACAGUUAACUGAAGUUUAACUGUUGUAAACUUCAGUUAACUCUGUUUCACUGCGUGUAAUUUCAGUUCCUCCUAUGCGUAUCCAUCGCCAUGAACUGUAUCCAGUGACUUUGAUCUGCUAUAUCUGCAAUACAUCUUCCGUCGACAUCUGCACGUGAUCAGGAACUGAUGCCUCCCAGCUAACGUUACGUGUACGUCCUGGCGAUUGGAAUGGCGACUCGGAUGGCGUCGAGCGGGCGACGGGAGUCGGCGCCGGCUGGGAGCUGGUGGGACAAGGCCCGAGGGCAGCGCUUGCUUGCCCGCCCCUAUGGUCGCGCCCCGGGACGGGGGUGGCGGCAGCGCGGAGCCGGUUCUCGGCCCUUGCCGGCGAGGAGUCUGAUUCAGAGGGCUAGGCGGACUCCAAUCCGUCUUCCCCGAGGGCGCACCCAGCUGGCCAAGGAUUCACGGUAUGUAAUUUCGUGGUGCGUGCCGCGGAGCUGGGAGGAGCGGUGUUCGCUGGCCGCUGGAGUUUUGCGCCGGGAGGGUGUCAGCUACCUGAAGACUGAACCCAAGUGUCACCUAAAUUCAGUUAUCUGUAGCGUAUCGGUUGGGCUAUACAGUUAACUGUCAUCGCACGGCUCGGAUGAAGGAAGAGGAGAUCAACGGCUGGAUAGAGACUACAUGGCGUUUAACUGACAUACGUCACAUUUCCGUUUUAUUUAGUUUUUACCUUCACCUGCUCACUGUGAGCCCCCGCUGCGUGCGAGAGGGCAUCCAAUGUACAUAUCUGCUUAUCAGACCCUAGCUUUGCCCUUUCAUAGCUACAGUAGAACUUCCCCCAUUAAUCGAAGGGCCUCCGAUUCGGGAGUUUAUCUAAAUCCUAGUUCGUGUUUGUGUGUUUGAUCUUGUCAAUCCUCAGUAGGAUCUGACAAAUUGGUAUUAGAUGUUAUCAGUCCUCGCAGGAGCGGCGGAGGUGUUGAAAACAAUGGCGUGAAGGCGGCGGUAGAAAAAUUUGGGCACAUGCUGGUAGCUUAGGUAUGGUUGCUGGCGAGCCUCUCCCAUGGCGGUAAAAAACCGCGACCCAAGCGAGUCCGUGUGCUAACGGCGGAGAGGAGCGCUGGUGGCGGCUGUGACUUGAGAUCUCUCGAGGGUUCUAAAGCUUGUGCUUGCGGUGAAAUUCCGGAGCAAAAUCUCAGUCCAAAUGUUGAAAUCGUAGGGUGAUGACAAGGCAGACGCGUCCGAGGUCGUAACCAUGAAGCUGGACAUGGAUCAAUUGGACGAAAAGGUGGAUGACGUUCUUCAAACUGAAAUGGAGGGCAUACGCCUCGAAGUCGCGGAGCUUAAGAAGCAGUUGACACGCUUGGAGGAAUUGAUGUUGCAGAUGGAUGAGAGGUUGAGCGCAUCUCCUCAAGCUAGACAGGAAAACGAAAGAGAGAAGGAUGCACAGAAUCAGCAACACCAACCCCAACUCACUCCCAACGACCACAACAACCACCUCUUAAGUGCACUCAAGGCAGCCAGGUGAGCACCAUUCUCCACUGUUGGACAGAGGCACACCAGUGUGGCGGCGCAGAGGGCACGAACACAUGAUGCAAACUGCUGACUGGGGAGAAACACAACCAGAAACCCACCCCUAACAACGUUCAUCAUAACGUGGAUCAACAAGGUCACUACUUCCCUUCAUAGGAGGACAAUGGGUUGCAAGGACACUACCAGGUGUUUUAUGAUCAAACACAAUUCAGAGAAUACCAACAUCAUGCACUACACCAAACACCAAGACCCAUGGCACCUCCUCCCCAAUAUUGUCCGCCACCUUCAUAUUACCAACCUGAAUACCAAUAGUGCAAUCAAAAGGAAAUACAUCAGCAAUAAAUACUACUAUCAGCCUGCUAUGCAACCCCAACAAUAAUAUUUUCAUUUUCAAGGAAUUAAUGCAUCCAGGCCCAGAAGGCCAGAACCAGGCCUGGUUGUGCACCAACAAGCAGGCCACCAGUUCCAAACACCCAGGCAAGGUCAAUACCUUGAUCAGAGCAGAGGCCAUCAUGCCAAGACAAAGAAGCUCAGUUCUACAGAUCCGUUGCAAAAGCUCACAAAUUUGAAUUUCCUAGAUUUGAUGGUAGCAACCCCGUAGAAUGGCUGAGAACUACUGAGAAAAUUUUCUCAUUAGUAUAUGUGCCCGAGGAGGCCAAAUGGGAUUAUGCCCAGAUGUAUCUAGCUGGCAGAGCUGACAUAUGGCUAAGGAAUUCUGGCAUAUUGGAGGAAAAUCUUACUUGGGAACAAUUAUUUAAAGUGGUAGUCAGAAGAUUUUUAGGUGAUAGCUCUUAUGAAGUAGUGGAAAACUUCAGUUCUACUAUUAAAUAAGCAUCCACUUCUGUCUCUGAGUACACUAACGAAUUUGAAGAAAAGAUGUCUUCAUAAAAAAAGGAGAACCCGAGAAUUAUUGAAGGUUAUUAUGUCAAAUUUUGUAUCAAUGGGCUGAAGCUAGAAAUAAAAGACUACCUGAAACCCUUCAAACCACAGACACUAUACGAUGCAGUGGAAAUGGCUAGAGACAUGGAAAUGGGAGUACAGGCCCAAUGUACAUAGAGGAAAUUCUCCUCUUUCACUGGAUUUCAGAAAAAUUCCAGUCUGUGAGAAUUGCUGUAACGUCGUACCUAUCCUAGUAGCGACGGCUCCAUGUUAUAUAGCAGGGGCCGACUCCCUGAUAAGGCAUACAAUCUUGGAGUACAAGGAAAAAAGAGAUAGAGAUAGAUCAUGUGGUUGGAAGAAGAUAUACUAGAUACUAACAACCUAUUCAAACUAACUCUAUCUCAAGAUACGUGCAUUAUGACUACACGUCCUUGUUACAAUCAUACACGCAUAUAUGAGUUUAACAGCCUUCCUUAAUCACAACUUGGUCAUGUUGAGAUUAUGCUUGAACUCCUCAAAACUUCUUGUAGGUAGUGCCUUGGUGAAACCAUCUGCAACUUGAUCUCUGGAGUGUAUAAACCAAAUUUCCAACUGCUUGUUAGCAACUCGUUCUCUGACGAAGUGGAAAUCUAUCUCAAUGUGUUUUGUCCGUGCAUGAAAGACUGGAUUGGCAGAUAAAUAAGUAGCACCAAGGUUAUCACACCACAAACAAGGAGGCUGAAUGCAUUUUAUACCUAGUUCUUUCAGCAUGGACUGCAUCCAGAUUAUUUCCGCUGUUGCAUUUGCCAACGCCUUGUACUCUGCUUUUGUACUUGACCCGGAAACUGUGGCUUGCUUCUUUGCACACUAAGAUAUCAAGUUGGGUCCAAAAAAUAUAGCAAAUCCACCAGUGGAACGUCUAUCAUCUAAGCAUCCUGCCCAGUCAGAAUCUGAGAAAGCACUGACAAGAGUAGAUGAAGACUUACUGAAAGUAAGACCAAUGCCCAAAGUAUGCUUCACAUAUCUAACUAUACGCUUGGCAGCUGUCCAAUGCAUAGUUGUAGGAGCAUGAAGAAACUGACAUACUUUGUUAACAGCAAAGGAUAUAUCUGGCCUUGUGAGAGUCAAGUAAUGAAGAGCACCUACCAAGCUUCUGUAGUUGGUGCUGUCCUCUUAAUUCAAUAGGUCUCCUUCUGUAAGGGAUAGUUUUUCUGAGCUGGAUAAUGGAGUUGGUGAUGGUUUACGUCCUUGCAAGCCAGCUCUUCUGACCAGAUCAGUUGCAUAUUUUUCCCGAGACAGAUAAAGUGUAUCUCCAUGCCUUUUCACCUCAAUGCCUAGGAAGAAAUGCAAGUCUCCUAGAUCCUUAAGAGCAAACUCAGAACUCAGAUCUUUUAACAGUCCUGCUAUUGCAUCAUUAGAUGAACUAGUAACAAUAAUAUCAUCCACAUAAAUAAGCACAAAUAUUGAUGUAUUUGACUUAUUAUAAAUAAACAGUGAUGUGUCAGACUUGGAAGAAACAAAACCAAGUGAUUGCAGCUUAUGACUGAGUCGUGAGUAUCACGCUCUAGGAGCUUGCUUCAGACCAUAAAUGGCUUUAUCAAGUUUGUAGACAUGAUGAGGCAAGUUUUUGUUCUCAAACCCAGGAGGUUGUUUCAUAUAGACUUCCUCUUCCAGAACACCAUGAAGGAACGUGUUCUGUACAUCUAGCUGUCGAAGACUCCAUUCCCUGGAAAUAGCAAUGGACAACACAAGACGAAUAGUGGCAGCCUUUACAACCGGACUAAAUGUGUCCUCAUAGUCAAUGCCAUAUCUUUGUUUGAAGCCUUUUGCAACCAGUCUAGCUUUAUACCGGUCUAUAGGUCCAUCAGACUUUUUCUUAAUUCUGAAAACCCACUUGCAAUCAAUCAAAUUUUUACCUUGCCGUGGGGGAACUAGAUGCCACAUUUUAUUUUUCAGGAGAGCUAUAUGCUCUUCCUCCAUAACUUUUCUCCACCGUGUAUCACCAAGUGCCUCUUGCAGAUUAUUAGGUUCACCUGUGGAGCAUGCCAAGCCAAACUUAGUUUUAUAAUUAACUUGCUGAAUUACCCCUUUUUGAAGUCGUGUCCGUGGCACAGGAUGAGAUGCAGCAGGUAUGGCCACAGAAGAUUGGGCUGACGCUCCCCCUGGCACAACUGAUCCCGAUGCAGAUUCGGCUGCAUGGAUCAGGGUGGCCGAGGGAUCUUCUGUGGCGCCGGGCGGCUGCACGGUUGAACAAGAGGGCACGGAAGAUCCGGGUCCGUCCGCUGGCACCCCAUCAUGGUGUUGGAAAUAUGCCCUAGAGGCAAUAAUAAAAUGGUUAUUAUUGUAUUUCCUUGUUCAUGAUAAUUGUCUAUUGUUCAUGCUAUAAUUGUAUUAACUGGAAACCGUAAUACAUGUGUGAAUAUAUAGACCACAACAUGUCCCUAGUGAGCCUGUAGUUGACUACCUCGUUGAUCGAUAGAUGGUUAUGGUUUCCUGACCAUGGACAUUGGAUGUCAUUGAUAACGGGAUCACAUCAUUAGGAGAAUGAUGUGAUGGACAAGACCCAAUCCUAAGCAUAGCACAAGAUCAUGUAGUUCGUUUGCUAAAGCUUUUCUAGUGUCAAGUAUCAUUUCCUUAGACCAUGAGAUUGUGUAACUCCCGGAUACCGUAGGAGUGCUUUGGGUGUACCAAACGUCACAACGUAACUGGGUGACUAUAAAUGUGCACUACAGGUAUCUCUGAAAGUGUCUGUUGGGUUGGCACGAAUCGAGACUGGGAUUUGUCACCCCGUAUGACGGAGAGGUAUCUCUGGGCCCACUCGGUAAUGCAUCAUCAUAAUGAGCUCAAUGUGACUAAGUAGUUAGUCACGGGAUCAUGCAUUACGGAACGAGUAAAGUGACUUGCCGGUAACGAGAUUGAACGAGGUAUUGGCACACCGACGAUCGAAUCUCGGGCAAGUAACAUACCGAUUGACAAAGGGAAUUCUAUACGGGAUUGAUUGAAUCCCCGACAUCGUGGUUCAUCCGAUGAGAUCAUCGUGGAACAUGUGGGAGCCAACAUGGGUAUCCAGAUCCCGUUGUUGGUUACUGGCCAGAGAGUUGUCUCAGUCAUGUCUGCAUGAUUCCCGAACCCGUAGGGUCUACACACUUAAGGUUCGAUGACGCUAGGGUUAUAAGGGAAGUUUGUAUGUGGUUACCGACUAUUGUUAGGAGUCCCGGAUGAGAUCCCGGAUGUCACGAGGAGUUCCGGAAUGGUCCGGAGGUAAAGAUUUAUAUAUGGGAAGUCCAGUUCCAGUCACCGGAAUAGUUUCGGGGGUUAUCGGUAUUGUACCGGGACCACCGAAAGGUGUCCGAAGGUCCACCGGGUGGGGCCACCUGCUCCGGGGGACUUGAUGGGCUGAAUAUGGGAGGGAACCAGCCCCUAGUGGGCUGGUGCGCCCCUCCUCAAGGGCCCGAGGCGCCAUGGGAUCUAGAGGGGCCGGCCCCCUCUCCCCUUCCCCUACAUAUAGUGGGGGUUUUGGGGGUGCAAAGGACAUGAGUUUUCCUCUCUCCUGGCGCAGCCCUACCCCUCUCCCUCCUCGUCUCUCGGGUGCUUGGCGAAGCCCUGCUGGAGUGCCACGCUCUUCCAUCACCACCACGCUGUUGUGCUGCUGCUGGACGGAGUCUUCCCCAACCUCUCCCUCUCUCCUUGCUGGAUCAAGGCGCGGGAGACAUCACCGGGCUGCACGUGUGUUGAACGCGGAGGCACCGUUGUUCGGUGCUUAGAUCGGAUUCGGCCGUGAUCUGAAUCGCUUCGUGAACGACUCCACCGACCAUGUUCCUGCAACGCUUCCGCAUAGCGAUCUUCAAGGGUAUGAAGAUACACUCCCCUCUCUCUUGUUGCUAGAAUCUCCAUAGAUUGAUCUUGGUGAUGCGUAGAAAAUUUUGAAUUUCUGCUACGUUCCCCAACAGUGGCAUCAUGAGCUAGGUCUAUUGUGUAUAUUCUAUGCAUGAGUAGAACACAAGUAGUUGUGGGCGUUGAUUUUGUUCAAUAUGCUUACCGUUACCAGUCCUAUCUUGUUUCGACGAUAUUGUGGGAUGAAGCGGCCCGGACCGACCUUACAUGUACACUUACGUGAGACAGAUUCCACUGACUGACAUGCACUUGUUGCAUAAGGUGGCUAGCGGGUGCCAGUCUCUCCCACUUUAGUCGGAUCGGAUUCGAUGAAAAGGGUCCUUAUGAAGGGUCAAUAGCAAUUGGCAUAUCACGUUGUGGUUUUGGCAUAGGUAAGAAACGUUCUUGCUAGAAACCUAUAGCAGCCACGUAAAAAUUUGCAACAACAAUUAGAGGACAUCUAACUUGUUUUUGCAGCAUAUGCCGUGUGAUGUGAUAUGGACAAAAAAGGAUGUGAUGAAUGAAAUAUAUGUGUUGUAUGAGAUUGAUCAUGUUCUUGUAAUAGGAAUUACGACUUGCAUGUCAGAUGAGUAUGACAACCGGCAGGAGCCAUAGGAGUUUUCUUUAUUUAUUGUAUGACCUGCGUGUCACUGAAUAACGCCAUGUAAUUACUUUACUUAUUGCUAAACCGUUAGCCAUAAGUAGUAGAAGUAAUAGUUGGCGAGACAACUUCAUGGAGACACGAUGAUGGAGAUCAUGAUGAUGGAGAUCAUGGUGUCAUGCCGGUGACGAUGAUGAUCAUGGCGCCCCGAAGAUGGAGAUCAAAAGGAGCAAAAUGAUAUUGGCCAUAUCAUGUCACUAUUUGAUUGCAUGUGAUGUUUAUCAUGUUUUUGCAUCUUAUUUGCUUAGAACGACGGUAGUAAAUAAGAUGAUCCCUCACUAAAAUUUCAAGCAAGUGUUCCCCCUAACUGUGCACCGUUGCGAAGGUUUGUUGUUUCGAAGCACCACGUGAUGAUCAGGUGUGGUAGAUUCUAACGUUCGCAUAUAACGGGUGUAAGCUAGAUUUACACACGCGAAACACUUAGGUUGACUUGAUGAGCCUAGCAUGUACAGACAUGGCCUCGGAACACAAGAGACCGAAAGGUCGAGCAUGAGUCGUAUAGUAGAUACGAUCAACAUGAAGAUGUUCACCGAUGAUGACUAGUCCGUCUCACGUGAUGAUCGGACACGGCCUAGUUGACUCGGAUCAUGUAUCACUUAGAUGACUAGAGGGAUGUCUAUCUGAGUGUGAGUUCAUCAAAUAAUUUGAUUAGAUGAACUUAAUUAUCCUGAACAUAGUCAAAAGGUCUUCGCAAAUUAUGUCGUAGCUCGCGUUUUAGUUCUACUGUUUUAGAUAUGUUCCUAGAGAAAAUUUUGUUGAAAGUUGAUAGUAGCAAUUAUGCGGACUGGGUCCGUAAACUGAGGAUUGUCCUCAUUGCUGCGCAGAAGGCUUAUGUUCUUAAUGCACCGCUCGAUGUGCUGAACCUCAAACGUUGUCCGUGGAUGUUGCGAACAUCUGACAUACACGUUUUGAUGACUACGUGAUAGUUCAGUAAUGUUAAACGGUUUAGAAUUGAGGCACCGAAGACGUUUUUGAAACAUCACGGAACAUAUGAGAUGUUUCGAGGGCUGAAAUUGGGAUUUCAGGCUCGUGCCCACGUCAAGAGGUAUAAGACCUUCGACGAGUUUCUUAGCCUACAAACUAAGGGAGAAAAGCUCAAUCGUUGAGCUUGUACUCAGAUUGUCUGGGUACAACAAUCACUUGAAUCGAGUGGGAAUUAAUCUUCCAGAUGAGACAGUAAUGUUUCUCCAAAGUUAUUGCCACCAAGCUGCUAGAGCUUCGUGAUGAACUAUAACAUAUCAGGGAUAGAUAUGAUGAUCCUUGAAAUAUUCACGAUGUUUGACACCGCGAAAGUAGAAAUCAAGAAGGAGCAUCAAUCGUUGAUGGUUAGUGAAACCACUAGUUUCAAGAAGGGCAAGGGCAAGAAGGGAUACUUCAUGAAACAGCAAAUCAGUUGCUGCUUUAGUAAAGAAACCCAAGGUUGAACCCAAACCCGAGACUAAGUGCUUCUGUAAUGAGGGGAACGGUCACUGAAGCAAAACCACCCUAGAUACUUGGUAGAUGAGAAGGCUGGCAAGGUCACAACAACAACAACAACAACAACAACAACAACAACAACAACAACAACAAUAACAAAGCCUUUAGUCCCAAACAAGUUGGGGUAGGCUAGAGGUGAAACCCAUAAGAUCUCGCAACCAACUCAUGGCUCUGGCACAUGGAUAGCAAGCUUCCACACACCCCUGUCCAUAGCUAGCUCUUUGUCGAUACUCCAAUCCUUCAGGUCUCUCUUAAUGGGCUCCUCCCAUGUCAAAUUCGGUCGACCCCGCCCUCUCUUGACAUUCUCCGCACGCUUUAGCCGUCCGCUAUGCACUGGAGCUUCUGGAGGCCCGCGCUGAAUAUGCCCAAACCAUCUCAAACAAUGUUGGACAAGCUUCUCCUCAAUUGGUGCUACCCCAACUCUAUCUCGUAUAUCAUCAUUCCGAACUCGAUCCUUCCUCGUGUGGCCACACAUCCAUCUCAACAUACGCAUCUCCGCCACACCUAACUAUUGAACAUGUCGCCUUUUAGUCGGCCAACACUCCGCGCCAUACAACAUUGCGGGUCGAACCGCCAUCCUGUAGAACUUGCCUUUUAGCUUUUGCGGCACUCUCUUGUCACAGAGAAUGCCAGAAGCUUGGCGCCACUUCAUCCAUCUGGCUUUGAUUUGAUGGUUCACAUCUUCAUCAAUACCCCCAUCCUCCUACAACAUUGACCCCAAAUAUCGAAAGGUGUCCUUCCGAGGUACCACCUGGCCAUCAAGGCUAACCUCCUCCUCCUCACACCUUGUAGUACUGAAACCGCACAUCAUGUACUCAGUUUAAGUUCUACUAAGCCUAAGCCCUUUCGAUUCCAAGGUUUGUCUCCAUAACUAUAACUUCCUAUUUACCCCCGUCCGACUAUCGUCAACUAGCACCACAUCAUCCACAAAGAGCAUACACCAUGGGAUAUCUCCUUGUAUACCCCUUGUGACCUCAUCCAUCACUAAUGCAAAAAGAUAAGGGCUCAAAGCUGACCCCUGAUGCAGUCCUAUCUUAAUCGGGUAGUCAUCGAUGUCGACAUCACUUGUUUGAACACUUGUCACAACAUUAUUGUACAUGUCCUUGAUGAGGGUAAUGUACUUUGCUGGGUGUAGGACCUUGAAGUAUGUCUAGAGGGGGGGUGAUUAGACUACUUGACCAAUUAAAAACUUAGCCUUCUCCCAAUUUUAGAGUUUGGCAGAUUUUAGCUAUCUUAGGACAAGUCAAGCAAUCAUCACACAAUUCAAGCAAGCAUGCAAAGAGUAUAUAGGCAGCGGAAAUUAAAGCAUGCAACUUGCAAGAAAGUAAAGGGAAGGGUUUGGAGGAUUCAAACGCAAGUGGAGACACGGAUGUUUUUGGCGUGGUUCCGAUAGGUGGUGCUAUCGUACAUCCACGUUGAUGGAGACUUCAACCCACGAAGGGUAACGGUUGCGCGAGUCCACGGAGGGCUCCACCCACGAAGGGUCCACGAAGAAGCAACCUUGUCUGUCCCACCAUGGCCGUCGCCCACGAAGGACUUGCCUCACUAGCGGUAGAUCUUCACGAAGUAGGCAAUCUCCUUGCCCUUACAAACUCCUUGGUUCAACUCCACAAUCUUGUAGGAGGCUCCCAAGUGACACCUAGCCAAUCUAGGAGACACCACUCUCCAUGAAGUAACAAAUGGUGCGUUGAUGAUGAACUCCUUGCUCUUGUGCUUCAAAUGAUAGUCUCCCCAACACUCAACUCUCUCUCAUAGGUUUUGGAUCUGGUGGAAAGAAGAUUUGAGUGGAAAGCAACUUGGGGAAGGCUAGAGAUCAAGAUUCAUAUGGUAGGAAUGGAAUAUCUUGGCCUCAACACAUGAGUAGGUGGUUCUCUCUCAGAAAUGGUAAGUUGUAAGUGUAGGUUUGUUCUGAUGGGUCUCUCCACGAAUGAAGAGGAGGUGGAGGGGUAUAUAUAGCCUCCACACAAAAUCUAACCAUUACACACAAUUUACCAAACUCGGUGGGACCGAAUCAUCAAACUCGGUGGGACCGAUUCAGUAAACCUAGUGACCGUUAGGAUUUUCGGUAGGACCGAAAUGCAACUCGGUAAGACCGAUAUGGUUAGGGUUAGGGCAUAACGUAAUCCCGGUAAGACCGAUUACACAAUCUCGGUGAGACCGAUUUUGGUAAUAAGCUAACCAGAGAGUUGGCCAGGUAAACUGGGUGGGACCGAUUUGCUCUUUUCGGUGAGAUCGAAAUGUUACAAAAGGGAAACAGAGAGUUUACAUUGCAAUCUUGGUGGGACCGAUCGCUCACUUCGGUUAGACCGAAACGUUACGAAGGGAAACAGAGAGAUUACAAUCCCAUCUCGGUGAGACCGAGAUCCCUAUCGGUAGGACCGAUUUGCCUAGGGUUUGUGGCAGUGGCUAUGACAUUAGAACUCGAUGGUGCCGGAUAGGAAGAAUUGGUGUGACCGAUUUUGGCUUUAGGUUUAGGUCAUUUGUGGAUGUGGAAAAGUAGUUGAGGGUUUUUGGAGCAUAUCACCAAGCACAUGAAGCAAGAGGCUCAUUAAGAAACACCUCAUCCCUCCUUGAUAGUAUUGGCUUUUCCUAUAGACUCAAUGUGAUCUUGGAUCACUAAAAUGUAAAAUGAAGAGUCUUGAGCUUUUGAGCUUGAGCCAAUCCUUUGUCAUUAGUAUUUUGAGGGAUCCACUUUCAUCAUCCAUGCCAUGCCAUUCAUUGAGCUUUCCUGAAAUAAUAGUCUUGGAAUAGCAUUAGCUCAAUGAUCUAUAUGUUGUUAUGAAUUACCAAAACCACCUAGGGAUAGUUGCACUUUCAAUCUCCCCCUUUUUGGUAAUUGAUGACAACAUAUAGAUCAAAGCUUCAGCAAAUGAUAAUAAUAUUGAAAAACAUCCUCGCUUUGAGAAGUAUGUGGUAAGCAAGAGCUCCCCCUAAAUUUGUGCAUAGUUUAAGAUUUGCUUUGGACUGAAAAUGCACAAGGAAUUAGGCUCAUGGGUUACUCUUCCAUGUCACAUACAUCUUGGUGGAGCGCUCAAAAUGAUAAAGAUUGAAUACAUGCACUCAUCACCAAGCAAAGUGAAUGAUCACAUAUGGAUAGAUAAGAUAAUAUCAUCAAACAUGCGUAAGUGUAGCUUAUGAUCAAACACAUGAUCAUCAAUGUCUCACAAAAACAACAUAGUAUCUCAAGCAAUCAAAAGCAAACAAAGUUUAACCACCAAAGCAAGAGAGAACAAAAGCAACACUCUCUCUCUCGAAGCCUAUGAUCUAUACAUUUUUCUCCCCCUUUGGCAACAAGUUACCAAAAAGUUCAUAGAAAAUGCAUAGUGCUAGAUCGACUCUCAGGCUUGAUCUUCAGGUGGUGGUGUCCGGAGAACUCCAAGAAUGAAGGCUUCAGUUGAAGUAGAGGGAGCUGGAGGAGUUGGUGCUGGAGCUGAUUGCACUGGAGCUGUAGGAGCUGUAGCUGGUGCAGAUGAUGUGGCUCUGGUGUCUGUCACAGGCACUGUAGUUAACCUCUGAGCUCUAGGUACUCUGGCAAAUACAUUAGUGGUAGUCUUGCCCUUCCUCUCCUGCAUGUCAUCCUGUAGCUGCUCCACAACUGACUGAAUCUCAGUUACUUUGACAUAUAGAUCAUAGAAUUUUUGUUCCAUGAUUCUUUCCAAGCUCGCCUGGUUUUGAGUUAGGGUGGCCAACCCCUUCUCAAUCCUCAGUGUUGAUGCUAUCAAGUAACCAAGCUGCUCCUGCUUGUUCUUCAGAAAGUACUCAGAUGCCUCCUCUUGAGUUGGCAUCUUGGCAGCCUUCUCUUUCCUUGCCUUCUCCUUCUUCUCUUGAGCUUGUACUGAUGAUGGUUCAUUCUCAGUCAUGACAACCUGAUUGUCCUCAAAGUCUGGAUAAAGAAGAAAAUGUUCCUUAUCCAAUAGAUAUUUUCCUGUGCCCAUCUUUGAGUUAAUCAACUCUUGAAUCUGAGGGGCAUAUCCACAGCUUCUCUUUUGAUCUGCUGCUGUCCUCUUAAUAGUCUCAACCAUAAGGCUCAUGACCUUGAAUUUCUGUGGCACAUCAAACAAAUGCAACAUGUUGAUUGCAUGCCCUCUAAUCAUGUUGUGGUCACCAGACUUAGGCAACAUAGUGUGCCUUAGGAUCCCAUUGAUUGUAGGCAGCCCUGACAGAAGAAAAUGGACUAAUCCAAAGGAGAAAGUCUCUAGAGCUUUGUCUGGGAUCUCCUUGUACAUAUGUGCCAUGGUAUUGUGUCCCAUUUUCUUCUUGGCAUAGACAUCCAAGUCAUCUUCACUCUCCUUGGGGGCAUUGAUCAGUUUUUCCCACUCCUCAAUGGUUGACUGGUACCUCAUACCUUCUGACAUCCACACUAUUCUGCCAUCUGGAUAGAAGUGUGCUGUGGAGUAGAAUUGCAUAAUGAGUUCAUCAUUCCAGUUGGUGAGCUUCUGCCCAACAAAAUCUGCAACUCCACAAGCUUCAAAACUGUCAUACACUCCAAGAUAGUGUUCUUCAUUUUCCUUCAUGUAGGUCCAGUCGACCCACCUCAUAUCACACACUAUGGGCUUCUUGUCCAACAAAAUUCUCUCAUAGAAGUCCUGUUGUUCCUUUGUGUGGAACCUGUAAUCAACAGCAGUCCUUCUCCUUGUGGCAUAUGGAUCUUUCAUCCUCCAUAGCCUCAACCCUGAGUCUCUUCUAAUGUUCAUGUCCUCAGCCACAGGAUGGGCAUCAUUAUGGUCUGGUAUCUUGGGCUUGAGCUUCCUGAGGACUUGUCCUUCUUCAUCUUCCUCAUCAGCAACUUCAGACACUAGGGCCUUGUUCUUCUCAGCAGCUGGAAUACUCCUGGUAUUCCUCUUUGGUGCAAGCUUGGGCUUGGGGGCAGCUUUGGGUGCUUCCUUGGGCUUUGAUGUUGCAGCCCCUGACUUAAUUGCAUCACCCAUAAGCUUUUGUGCCUUGGGUGCUGGUGCAGCAACCUCUUCUUCCUCUUCCAUCAUGGAAGGUUGCCCAACAACUCUGGCUAUGGUCUUUUUGACCCUUUCUUUCCUUUUCUUUCCUUCUAUAGCAGGCUCUUUGGAUUGGGAUUCCAAAGGAAUUUGAGUGGAGACUCUGGCUUUGGACAUUGGUUGUCUUCCUGCAGGCCUUUUAAUUUCAUGCCUGGCUUUACUGCAGUUGAGCUGAACUUCUUCUUGAGCUCUACUUUCUUGGAAGUAGCCUUAUCCUCUUCUGCUCUAUAAUCCUCAUCCUCACAAUCUGAGGUUCUCUUCUUCCUUGUCCUGGUGGCAGCUUUAGGCAGGUUGCGUGGGGUGCUCCUGCUGCCUUCAUCUGAAGUGCUAGAGGGACUAGUGCCCUCACUCAUGUGCAUCUGCUCUUCUGACCUGUUCUGACUAUCACUUUGGCCUGACAUGCUGCAAAUCACUGACUGCUAACCCUGUGAAGAGUUAUAGAUGAGAUAGAGUGGAUGAGCAUCACAAAAUGCAGAGAUUUUUGCAAAAGAAUGAUUCAAAAAUUCAGUUUUAGUUUUCCACAGAAAGCAUUUCGAAUCAACCGAUUUUCAAACUCGGUGAUACCGAAGCAGUUUUGGAACCUAAACUGAUGAACUCAGUUGGACCGAGUCACAGUUCGGUGGCACCGAGACUGCUAGGGUUUCACAAAGUCCUAAAAUCGGUCUCACCGAUUAGCAAUUCUCGAUCAGACCGAGAGUUACUAGUGCAAUGGCAUUAGCCAAAUCGGUGGGACUGAGUUUUUCAACUCGGUGGGUCUGAGAUGGUUUCGGCGGAAAACUAACCCUAAAUUUUGAAAUAUCAUCUAAUCUAAGGAUUGCAUUGACUGAAUAGGAGUGUUUCAAUCGUGGCAAGAAUCAUUAAGAACACAAUGUGCUAGGAAUCGGACGAGGAUAGCACUGUGAUCGAGUCCAUACCCUAGCUUGGCGAUGAACUCGCUACGGCGGCAACGGCGGGGGUGAAAUCCGUUGACGGCGGUGGAGACCAGCAACAGGAGGCGGCUGGCGACGAGGAGACGAUCCGGAGACCCUGAUGGCAGAGCGAGCUAUUGCGCGGGUGAAGAGGUUCGGAGAAAUUUCCAAAUUUUUGCCCGUGACUAUAUAUAGCCCGACCCUGUCGGUGUGACUGAGUGGAACAACUCGGUGGCACCGAGAUGCAUAACUGUGUACAGUUACAGCAACUCGGUGUGACCGAAAAGUUCAAAUCGGUUGCACCGAGAUUGAAAACCUAGAUUGACUUAGUGAUCUCGGUGGGACCGGAAUGGAGGAAUCGGUCAGACCGAGAAUCACAAUGAAGUUUUGGAAGUUUAAGUCUAUGACGAAUCGGGGACUCCGAGUGCUCCUCACACAGGUGGUUCGAAUCUGACUUGAUCAAAUUUUGUGAUGUAGCAUGAAUAGAGUUUGAGACGAGAAAAGCAUAGAUAGCUAGAGAAGGUUCUUAGGCAUUCUUGUCCAUCCACUUGGCAAAAAGAAAAAGAACCAAAUAAUCAAAGCAACAAGUGGAUGUCCUCGAAUGAGUAAAAUAUGCACCAACAUGCUCACACAAUAAGAUGGCAAAUGAAAUAUGUGGCAAAACAUGCACAACCAAUUCUAGCAUCUAUCAAAACAAUUGGCGAUGACUAGGUCAUCUAUAUAUGAGUAUAUUGACUUAGGAGUCAAAUGAAAACAUUUGAUCAUAGGUCAUACUCAUCGUUUAAGCUCAAGUGGGGUUACCACUUUUACAUAAUGCAUUGAUGUGUUCACACCAUUAGAGUUGCUUUGACUCAAUUCUUAGAGUUAAGCUCCCCCUAGAUGUGAGAUCCCCUUUUAGAGGGAUGAACUAACCUUGGGUUUUGUCGAUGAUGACUUCAUGUAGGUGUUGAAAAUGUGGAUGCUCAAGGUUGAUGUAGAUCAUUUGGACCAAUCCUUUGGAGUGAGUUGCACUUUCAACAUACCUACAUGGGUUAGUCCCACAAGGAACAAACAAGAAUAUCCAUAGACAUAGAGUGAUGCACACACAAGAUAAUGUCCAUGAAAUCAUUUGGUUACCUUGUCCCUUGCCUUACCAACAUGAGGGUUUGUGACUCCUUGAACUAGUGCAAGAUGUGGAAGUUGAUUGCACUUGUUGUUGCCAAAAAUAUAUGAGUGAAGAAUGUUGGCGGAGUCACCCUCAAGAACUCUCUAGUUCUUCUUCUUCGGGAUCCACAUCAUCUUGAUGGGAAUCCUUGGAGUUGUAGUUGUACUUGAUGAAGUAGAACUUGACAUAGUCUUGGGAACCCACUUGACCAAGGCCUUAGGUGCUUCUUCAAAUGCAUCAAUCUCUUCUUGAAGCUUGUCCUUGCCUUUGUUCUUGUGAUCUUGUGGUGGAAGAUCAUCUUGUGCUUGUGUUCCUUUGAAGGAAGUAGGAUCAUACUUCUCUUGUUGAGGAACAAACUUCGUCUUGGGGUAUUGAUCUUCUUCCCACUCAACUCCAUUGGCAUUGAACUUUCGUUCAAAACCAACACCUUGAUUCUUUCGGUGCCUUCCUUGCUUGCGUACAAUUUCCUCGAAUUGCUUACUCCCGGCAAGGCUCUUGUAAACACCUUUCUCUAUAAUUCCAUUCAAUAAGCUAUUUUCUUGCUCAAAUGUAACUUGGCUAAGAGAAUCAUUAGUGGAAUCAAGAGAACUACUAGAAGCAACAAUAUUGGAUUUGACAUUAUUAUUGUUACUACUAGAGGAAGUAUCUUUCUUGUACUUGUUACUAGACUUGACUUGAGGCAUGUAAGUAGAUAAGAGUAAACGCUUGGCAAUGUAAGAAGAACUUUUGUUGCGGAGAUCAUCAUUGAUUGCUUUUAAGAACUCAUGCUCUUGCUCAAGAUUGAGCUUUUCAAAGCGUAACUUCUCAUGAGCCCUUAAAAGUUCUCGAUGAUCUUCGAAGAUAGUUUCAUGAGCCAACUUAAGAGUGUUUAGUUCUUUAGUUAGAAGCUCAAUCUUCUCCUUAUCAUUGUCAUUCGUUUUAUCUUGAUUAGCAUGAUUAGUUGACGUUUCAUCGUAGUAUUCAUCACUAGAGUUGUCAACAAGUAAAUCAUCAUCCACAAGCAAGUCAUCUUCAUCACUAUUGAAAUCAACAUACUCGAGAUGUGUUACCUUUGGACCUUUGGCCAUGAAGCAUAUUCCAAUUCCUUCAUUUGGUGAGUCAAAUAUGUCGUAGGAGUUGGUUGACACAAGUGCUAGACCGGCAACACCUUCAUCUUGAGUAUAUUCGGAGUCAGAGUGAUAGCUUCUCUCGGAGUGAUGGUCGGAGUCGGAACCGGAUACCCAUUCACCAACGUGAGCUUGAUGUCUUCGUUUUGUGUAGAUCCUUGAUGACUUGUCCUUCCUUUCCGAAUCCUUGCUUCUCCGUGAGGGUCUUCGUUCAUAACGAUCAUCUCUACUCCUCCUCUCUCUUGGUGGUGAUUCUUCUCUUUUGCUUCUUAUUUUUGGAGAAUCUUCUCUUCUUUUGUAGGGUGUCGUACACUCAUUGGAAUAGUGUCCGGGUCUCCCACAAUUGUAGCAAUUUCGCUCUCGACUAGAAGAUUUUUUUGUCAUUGUAAGACCUUGACUUGGAGCUUCUUUCUUUGCUUCUACUCUUGUAGAAUUUGUUGAGGUUCUUCACCAUUAAGCUCAAUUCUUCGUUGAAGGUUUGUUUCUCACUUGAUGACGUGGGGGCUUCACAUGAGGCUUUGUAAGCACCACUUGACUUGUUGUGAAGUUCCUCCUUAUCCUUAAGUGACAUCUCAUGAGCAACAAUUCUUCCAAUGACUUCCGUUGGCUUGAGAUCUUUGUAGUUUGGCAUCAUUUGGAUCAAGGUGCACACGGUAUCAUACUUUCCAUCCAAUGCUCUUAGGAUCUUCUUGAUGAUGAAUCUGUCGGUCAUCUCUUCACUCCCUAAGCCAGCAAUCUCAUUUGUGAUAAGUGCAAGCCUAGAGUACAUUUCAGCGACACCUUCACCAUCCUUCAUUUUGAACUUGUCAAGCUGACUUUGGAGCACAUCCAACUUGGAUUCCUUGACGAAGUCGGUACCUUCAUGCAUAUCAAUCAAAGUAUCCCAAAUUUCCUUUGCAUUCUCAAGAUAGCUGAUUUUGUUGAAUUCUUCGGGGCACAAUCCGUUGAAGAUGAUAUCACAAGCUUGAGCGUUGUACUGUAACAUCUUCAAUUCUUCCGCAUUAGCUUCACGGUUCGGCUCUCUCCCAUCAAAGAAUUCACCUUGCAAGCCAAUACAAAUAAUUGCCCAAACGACGGGGUUAUGUCCGAGAAUAUGCAUUUUCAUCUUAUGCUUCCAACUAGCAAAAUUAGUACCAUCAAAGUAAGGACCUCUACGGUGAUAAUUUCCCUCACUAGACGCCAUACUCUCCUAGGUUGUGAAACCAAGGCUAUGACCACCAAAAGCUAUGUAAAUCAAAGCAAAUGGAGACCAAAGCUCUGAUACCACUUGUAGGACCUUGAAUUAUGUCUAGAGGGGGGUGAUUAGACUACUUGACCAAUUAAAAACUUAGCCUUUUCUCAAUUUUAGAGUUUGGCAGAUUUUAGCUAUCUUAGGACAAGUCAAGCAAUCAUCACACAAUUCAAGCAAGCAUGCAAAGAGUAUAUAGGCAGCGGAAAUUAAAGCAUGCAACUUGCAAGAAAGUAAAGGAAAGGGUUUGGAGGAUUCAAACGCAAGUGGAUACACGGAUGUUUUUGGCGUGGUUCCGAUAGGUGGUGCUAUCGUACAUCCACGUUGAUGGAGACUUCAACCCACGAAGGGUAACGGUUGCGCGAGUCCACGGAGGGCUCCACCCACGAAGGGUCCACGAAGAAGCAACCUUGUCUGUCCCACCAUGGCCGUCGCCCACGAAGGACUUGCCUCACUAGCGGUAGAUCUUCACAAAGUAGGCGAUCUCCUUGCCCUUACAAACUCCUUGGUUCAACUCCACAAUCUUGUCGGAGGCUCCCAAGUGACACCUAGCCAAUCUAGGAGACACCACUCUCCAAGAAGUAACAAAUGGUGCGUUGAUGAUGAACUCCUUGCUAUUGUGCUUAAAAUGAUAGUCUCCCCAACACUCAACUCUCUUUGAUAGGUUUUGGAUCUGGUGGAAAGAAGAUUUGAGUGGAAAGCAACUUGGGGAAGGCUAGAGAUCAAGAUUCAUAUGGUAGGAAUGGAAUAUCUUGGCCUCAACACAUGAGUAGGUGGUUCUCUCUCAGAAAUGGUAAGUUGGAAGUGUAGGUUUGUUCUGAUGGCUCUCUCCACGAAUGAAGAGGAGGUGGAGGGGUAUAUAUAGCCUCCACACAAAAUCUAACCAUUACACACAAUUUACCAAACUCGGUGGGACCGAAUCAUCAAACUCGGUCGGACCGAUUCAGUAAACCUAGUGACCGUUAGGAUUUUUGGUGGGACCGAAAUGCAACUCGGUAAGACCGAUAUGGUUAGGGUUAGGGCAUAAUGUAAUCUCAGUAAGACUGAUUACACAAUCUCGGUGAGACCGAUUUUGGCAAUAAGCUAACUAGAGAGUUGGUCAGGUAAACUCGGUGGGACCGAUUUGCUCUUUUCGGUGAGACUGAAAUGUUACAAAAGGGAAACACAGAGUUUACAUUGCAAUCUCGGUGGGACCUAUCGCUCACUUCGGUUAGACCGAAACGUUACGAAGGGAAACAGAGAGAUUACAAUCCCAUCUCGGUGAGACCGAGAUCCCUAUCGGUAGGACCGAUUUGCCUAGGGUUUGUGGCAGUGUCUAUGACAUUAGAACUCAAUGGCGACGGAUAAGAAGAAUUGGUGUGACCGAUUUUGGCUUUAGGUUUAGGUCAUCUGUGGAUGUGGAAAAGUAGUUGACGGUUUUUGGAGCAUAUCACCAAGCACAUGAAGCAAGAGGCUCAUUAAGCAACACCUCAUCCCUCCUUGAUAGUAUUGGCUUUUCCUAUAGACUCAAUGUGAUCUUGGAUCACUAAAAUGUAAAAUGAGGAGUCUUGAGCUUUUGAGCUUGAGCCAAUCCUUUGUCAUUAGUAUUUUGAGGGAUCCACUUUCAUCAUCCAUGCCAUGCCAUUCAUUGAGCUUUCCUGAAAUAAUAGUCUUGGAAUAGCAUUAGCUCAAUGAGCUAUAUGUUGUUAUGAAUUACCCAAACCACCUAGGGAUAGUUGCACUUUCACUGGGACUUUGUGUUUAUCCAAGGCCCACCACAUGACAUUCCGCGGUAUCUUAUCAUAGGCCUUCUCCAAGUCAAUGAACACCAUAUGCAAGUCCUUAUUUUGCUCCCUAUAUCUCUCCAUAAGUUGUCGUACCAAGAAAAUGGCUUCCGUGGUCGACCUCCCAGGCAUGAAACCAAACUGAUUUUUGGUCACGCUUGUCAUUCUUCUUAAGCGGUGCUCAAUGACUCUCUCCCAUAGCUUCAUUGUAUGGCUCAUCAGCUUAAUUCCACGGUAAUUAGUACAACUCUGAACAUCCCCCUUGUUCUUGAAGAUUGGUACCAAUAUACUCCGUCUCCAUUCUUCUGGCAUCUUGUUUGCCCGAAAAAUGAGGUUGAAAAGCUUGGUUAGCCAUACUAUCGCUAUGUCCCCGAGACCUUUCCACACCUCAAUGGGGAUACAAUCAGGGCCCAUCGCCUUGCCUCCUUUUAUCCUUUUUAAAGCCUCCUUCACCUCAGACUCCUGGAUGCGCCGCACAAAACGCAUGAUGGUCUCAUCAAAGGAGUCGUCCAGUUCAAUGGUAGAACUCUCAUUCUCCCCAUUGAACAGCUUGUCGAAGUACUCCCGCCAUCUAUGCUUAAUCUCUUCAUCCUUCACCAACAGUUGGCCUGCUCCGUCCUUGAUGCAUUUGACUUGGCCAAUAUCCCUCGUCUUCCUCUCCCGGAUCUUAGCCAUCUUAUAGAUGUCCCUUUCACCUUCCUUCGCGCCUAACCGUUGGUAGAGGUCCUCAUAUGCCCGACCCCUUGCUUCACCAACAGCUCGCUUUGCGGCCUUCUUCGCCAUCUUGUACUUCUCUAUGUUGUCUGCACUCCUAUCCAGGUAUAGGCGUCUGAAGCAAUAUUUCUUCUCUUUAAUCGCCUUCUGGACAUCAUCAUUCCACCACCAGGUAUCCUUAUCUUCACUUCUCCUUCCCAUGGACACUCCAAACUCCUCCGAGGCCACCUUACGAAUGCAAGUCACCAUCUUCACCACACAUUGUCCGCAUCCCCUCCUUCCUCCCAAGGGCCCUCCUUAAUUACCCUCUCCUUGAACACCUGAGCUACCUCCCCCUUGAGCUUCCACCACUUUGUUCUAGCGACCUUGGCACGCUUAUCCCGAUGGACACGAAUCCGAAAGCGGAAGUCGGCAACCACCAGCUUAUGCUGGGGUACAACACUCUCCCCAGGUUCACCUUACAGUCUAGGCACGCACGCCUAUCUUCUCUUCUCGAGAGGAUGAAAUCAAUCUGGCUAGAGUAUUAGCCACUACUAAAAGUCACCAGAUGUGAUUCUCUCUUUCUAAAGAGGGUGUUAGCUACAAUCAUGUUGUAGGCUAGAGCAAAGCUUAAGACAUCUUCUCCUUCUUGAUUCCUGAUGCCAUAGCCAAAGCCCCCAUGCGCCCCUUCAAAACCUGUGUUAGAUGUACCCACGUGGCCAUUGAGGUCUCCUCCUAUGAAGAGCUUCUCACCAAUCGGUACACUCCUAACCAUGUCUUCCAAGCCUUCCCAGAACUCCCUCUUGGUGUUCUCAUUGUGGCCUACUUGCGGGGCAUACGCGCUGAUAACAUUGAGAACCAAGUCCUCAACUACCAGCUUGACCAGGAUAAUCCGGUCCCCACGUCUCCUGACGUCUACCACUCCAUACUUGAGGCUCUUGUAGAUCAAGAUCCGUACGCCAUUUCUGUUUGCAGCCGUCCCCGUGUACCACAGCUUGAAGCCGGUAUCCUCCACCUCCUUUGCCUUCUGUCCUCUCCAUUUGGUUUCUUGGACGCGAAGGAUAUCAACACCUCUCCUCACUGCUGCAUCAACUAGCUCCUGAAGCUUCCCUAUCAAAGACCCUACGUUCCAGCUACCUAAGCGAAUCCUCCUAGGCUCGGCUAGCUUCCUUACCCUUCGCACUCGUCGAGUCAAAUGCGAAGACCCUUGCUCAUUUUACACUACAUUCGGGCGCCGAUGUAGGGCGCCACUAAGGAUGCGAUGACCCGAUCCUCGCUCACUUGCCACCGUAUCCGGAUCAAGAUACGGCGCGCCACUUGGGGGGUGACGGCCCAGCCCUUGCCCAUUUUCCACCACACCCGGGUUCCGAUGUGGCGCGUUGCUGAGAGGGUUACGCCCCAACGAAAAUCUUUUGGGUUUCAUCUCCAUAAGAGUGGCUGAGUUUUUAUGUUGUCUCGCCAAGCCUAUCACAACCCUCCUCCUUUACCCGGGCUUGGGACCGGCUAUGUUGAGACAACAUAGGCGGAGUUAGAAGGCUGGCAAGGUCGACAGAAGUAUAUUGGAUAUACAUUAUAUUAAUGCGUACUUUACUAGUACUCCUAGUAGCACCAGGGUAUUAAGAUACCGGUUCGGUUGCUAAGUGUUAGUAACUCGAAAUAAAAGAGCUACGGAAUAAACGGAGACUAGCUAAAGGUGAGAUGACGAUGUGUGUUGGAAGUGUUUCCAAGGUUGAUGUGAUCAAGCAUCGCAUGCUCCCUCUACCAUCGAGAUUGGUGUUAAACCUAAAUAAUUGUUAUUUGGUGUUUGCGUUGAGCAUAGACAUGAUUGGAUUAUGUUUAUCGCAAUAUGGUUAUUCAUUUAAGGAGAAUAAUGGUUGCUCUGUUUAUUUGAAUAAUACCUUCAAUGGUCUUGCACCUAAAAUGAAUGGUUUAUUGAAUCUCGAUCAUAGUGAUACACAUGUUCAUGCCAAAAGAUAUAAGAUAGUAAUGAUAGUACCACAUACUUGUGGCACUGAUGUUUGAGUCACAUUGGUAUAAAACGCAUGAAGAAGCUCCAUGUUGAUGGAUCUUUGGACUCACUCGUUUUUGAAAAGAUUGAGACAUGUGAACCAUGUCUAUUGGUACAUAUGCAUGAAGAAACUCCAUACAUAUGGAUCGUUUGGACUCACUUGAUUUUGAAUCACUUGAGACAUGCAAAUCAUACCACAUGGGCAAGAUGACUGAAAAGCCUCGUUUUCAGUAAGAUGGAACAAGAAAGCAACUUGUUGGAAGUAAUACAUUUUGAUGUGUGCGGUUCAAUGAGUGCUGAGGCACGCAGUGGAUAUCGUUAUGUUCUUACUUCACAGAUGAUUUGAGUAGAUGCUGAGUAUAUUUACUUGAUGAAACACAAGUCUGAAUUAUUGAAAGGUUCAAGUAAUUUCAGAGUGAAGUUGAAGAUCUUCGUGACAAGUGGAUAAAAUGUCUGUGAUAUGAUCAUAGAGAUGAAUAUCUGAGUUGCGAGUUUGGUACACAAUUAAGACCUUGUGGGAAUUGUUUCAUAACUAAUACCGCCUGGAACACCAUAGUGUGAUGGUGAGUCCGAACAUCAUAGAUGCGCCCUAUUGGAUAUGGGGCAUACCAUGAUGUCUCUUAUCGAAUUACCACUAUCGCUUAUGGGUUAGGCAUUAGAGACAACCGCAUUCACUUUAAUAGGGCACCAUGUAAUUCUGUUGAGAUGACACCGUGUGAACUAUGGUUUAGAGAAACCUAAGUUGCCGUUUCUUAAAAAGUUUGGGGCUGCGAUGCUUAUGUGAAAAAGUUUCAUGCUGAUAAGCUCAAUCCCCAAGUGGAUAAAUGCAUCUUCACAGGACACCCAAAAGGUUGGGUAUACCUCCUAAUUCUGAUCCAGAAGCAAAAGUAAUUGUUUCUACAAACGGGUCCUUUCUCGAGGAAAAGUUUCUCUCGAAAGAAUUGAGUGGGAGGAUGGUGGAGACUUGAUAAGGUUAUUGAACCAUCACUUCAACUAGUGUGUAGUAGGGCACAAGAAGUUGUUCCUGUGGCGCCUACACCAAUUGAAGUAGAAGCUUAUGAUAGUGAUCAUGAAGCUUCGGAUCAAGUUACUACCAAACCUCGUAGGGUGACAAGGAUGCGUACUACUUCAGAGUGGUACAGUAAUCCUGCCUUGAAGGUCAUGUUGCUAGACAACAAUGAACCUAUUAGCUAUGGAGAAGCGAUGGUGGGCCCGGAUUCCGACGAAUGGCUCGAGGCCAUAAAAUACGAGAAAAGAUCCAUGUAUGAAAACAAAGUAUAGACUUUGGAAGAACUACUCGAUGGUCGUAAGGCUGUUGAGUACAGAUGGAUUUUAAAAGGAAGACGGACAAUGAUGGUAAGUGUCACCAUUAAGAAAGCUCGACUUGUCGCUAAGAUGUUUUCCGACAAGUUCAAGGAGUUGACUAUGAUGAGACUUUCUCACUCAUAGCGAUGCUAAGAGUCUGUUGGAAUUAUAUUAGCAGUUACUGCAUUAUUUAUGAAAUCUUACAGAUAGGAUGUCAAAAACAUUGUUUCCUCGACGAUUUUCUUGAGGAAAGGUUGUAUGUGAUACAACCAGAAUGUUUUGUCAAUCCUGAAAGAUGCUAACAAGUAUGCAAAGCUCCAGCAAUCCUUCUAAGGAUUGGAGUAAGCAUCUUGGAAUUGGAAUAUACACUUUGAUGAGACGAUCAAAGAUUUUGGGUUUAUACAAAGUUUAUGAGAAACUUGUAUUUCCAAAGAAGUGAGUGGGAGCACUAUAGAAUUUCUAAUGAGUAUAUGUUGUUGACAUAUUGUUGAUCAUAAAUGAUGUAGAGUUUCUGUAAAGCAUAUAGGUUUAUUUGAAAAGUGUUUUUCAAUGGAAAACCUGGAUUAAGCUACUUGAACAUUGAGCAUCAAGAUCUAUAAGGAUAGAUCAAAAUCGCUUAAUAGUACUUUCAAAUGAAUACAUACCAUGACAAGAUUUUGAAGGAGUUCAAAAUAGAUCGGCAAAGAAGGAGUUCUUGGUUGUGUUAUAAGGUGUGAGUAUUGAGUAAGACUCAAGACCUGACCACGGCAGAAAAGAGAGAAAGGACGAAGGUCGUCCCCUAUGCUUUAGACGUAGGCUCUACAGUAUGCUAUGCUGUGUACCGCACCUGAAGUGUGCCUUGGCAUAAGUCAGUCAAGGGGUACAAGAGUGAUCCAGGAAUGAAUCACAGGACAACGGUCAGACUUAUCCUUAGUAACUAAUGUACUAAGAAAUUUUCUCAAUUAUGGAGGUGGUAAAAGAGUUCGUCGUAAAGGGUUACGUCGAUGCAAACUUUGACACUAAUCCGGAUGAUUCUGAGUAGUAAACCAUAUUCGUAUAGUAGAACAGUUAUUUGGAAUAGCUCCAAAUAGAGCGUGGAAGCUAUAGUAUGACAUAGAGAUUUGUAAAAAACACACGGAUCUGAAAGGUUCAGACCCGCUGACUAAUGACCUCUCUCACAAGCGAGAUAUGAUCAAACCCCAUGGGUCUUGAAUUCAUUACAAUCACACAGUGAUGUGAACUAGAUUAUUGACUCUAGUGCAAGUGGGAGACUGUUGGAAAUAUGCCCUAGAGGCAAUAAUAAAAUGGUUAUUAUUGUAUUUCCUUGUUCAUGAUAAUUGUCUAUCGUUCAUGCUAUAAUUGUAUUAACUGGAAACCGUAAUACAUGUGUGAAUAUAUAGACCACAACAUGUCCCUAGUGAGCCUCUAGUUGACUAGCUCGUUGAUCGAUAGAUGGUUAUGGUUUCCUGACCAUGGACAUUGGAUGUCAUUGAUAACGGGAUCACAUCAUUAGGAUAAUGAUGUGAUGGACAAGAGCCAAUCCUAAGCAUAGCACAAGAUCGUGUAGUUCGUUUGAUAAAGCUUUUCUAAUGUCAAGUAUCAUUUCUUAGACCAUGAGAUUGUGUAACUCCCGGAUACCGUAGGAGUGCUUUGGGUGUACCAAACGUCACAACAUAACUGGGUGACUAUAAAGGUGCACUACAGGUAUCUCCGAAAGUGUCUGUUGGGUUGGCACGAAUCCAGACUGGGAUUUGUCACUCCGUAUCACGGAGAGGUAUCUCUGGGCCCACUCGGUAAUGCAUCAUCAUAAUGAGCUCAAUGUGACUAAGUAGUUAGUCACGGGAUCAUGCAUUACGGAACAAGUAAAGUGACUUGCCGGUAACGAGAUUGAACGAGGUAUUGGGAUACCGACGAUCGAAUCUUGGGCAAGUAACAUACCGAUUGACAAAGGGAAUUGUAUUGAUUGAAUCCCCGACAUUAUGGUUCAUCCGAUGAGAUCAUCGUGGAACAUGUGGGAGCCAACAUGGGUAUCCAGCUCCCGCUGUUGGUUAUUGGCCAGAGAGUUGUCUCGGUCAUGUCUGCAUGAUUCCCGAACCCGUAGGGUCUACACACUUAAGGUUCGAUGACGCUAGGGUUAUAAGGGAAGUCUGUAUGUGGUUACCGAAUGUUGUUCAGAGUCCCAGAUGAGAUCCCGGACGUCACGAGGAGUUCCGGAAUGGUCCGGAGGUAAAGAUUUAUAUACGGGAAGUCCAGUUUCAGUCACCAAAAUAGUUUCGGGGGUUAUCGGUAUUGUACCGGGACCAUCGAAAGGUGUCCGGAGGUCCAACGGGUGGGGCCACCUGCCCCGGGGGACUUGAUGGGCUGAAUAUGGGAGGGAACCAGCCCCUAGUGGGCUGGUGCACCCCUCCUCAAGGGCCCAAGGCGCCUAGGGUUGAAAACCCUAGGGGAGGGGGCGCCUCCACCUUGCUUGGGGGGAAGCCUCCCCUCCUAGCCGCCGCCCCCCGUCUAGAUGGGAUCUAGAGGGGCCGGCCCCCUCUCCCCUUCCCCUAUAUAUAGUGGGUUUUUUGGGGCUGUGAAGGACAUGAGUUUUCCUCUCUCCUGGCGCAGCCCUACCCCUCUCCCUCCUCGUCUCUCGCAGUGCUUGGCGAAGCCCUGUUGGAGUGCCACGCGCCUCCAUCAUCACCAUGCUGUUGUGCUGCUGCUGGAUGGAGUCUUCCCCAACCACUCCAUCUCUACUUGCUGGAUCAAGGCGCGGGAGACGUCACCGGGCUGCACGUGUGUUAAACGCGGAGGCACCGUUGUUCGGUGCUUAGAUCGGAUUCAGCCGCGAUCUGAAUCACUUCAUGAACGACUCCACCGACCACGUUCCUGCAACGCUUCCGCAUCGCGAUCUUCAAGGGUAUGAAGACACACUCCCCUCUCCCUUGUUGCUAGAAUAUCCAUAGAUUGAUCUUGGUGAUGCGUAGAAAAUUUUGAAUUUCUGCUACGUUCCCCAACACAUGGCGCAAUGAAGACGGCUGUCGGGCCGCAUCGCCUGCCGCGAGACGUGACAGACCACCAGAGGGGCCCCCCGACUGCGACUUGUUGUCGCGGCGAGAGUAGCAGCGAGUCGGGCCAGUCGGCCACCGACACGUGGCGGACGGGGAGCGAGCGGCUCGACUUGCGGCUCGGUCGGCUUGGCGGGACGAGCGGGAGAGCCCCGCGUGUCAGCCGCAGACCCAGAGCUGGUGGAGGGCACCGAGGCGGAUCUAGGGGCGGAUCCUGAUGUGCUGACACGAUGCUGUGAGGGCACGGAUCCCGCGGACGAUUCUUUGGCCGCCUGCUGCAGAAGCGAUCCCGAGGAGGAUAUGUCCCCCAGGGCUAGACACAUGAAAUAAGGCACGUUGGCCAGGUUUUCUUCACCAUUUUCUCCACAAUUUUCACCUGCACCAUCAGAAAGCUCACAUGCAGGGUUAUGGGUGUUAGUCAACAUUGAAUCAUUACAAUUAUUUUCCUCAUGAUGUGCACCGGUCAACUUAGGUGGCAAAAGAAGAAUUUCUUUGCGAAGAAGGGCGCCGGCAUUAGGGUGGAGAUCAAAGAAAGCGAAUUUGUUCUCAUCAAACACAACAUCACGGGAAAUAUAGACUCGACCAGUGGAGAUAUCAAGACACUUGACACCUUUAUGUAAUGGACUGUAGCCAAUGAAAGCACAUUGUUUAGAUCGAAACAUGAGCCUUCGAUUGUUGUAGGUCUAAGAUUAGGCCAACAUGCACACCCAAAGAUGCGGAGAGAGGUAUAAUCUGGUUUUAUGUGAAGAAGUCUCUCGGUGGAAGUUUCAUUAUUUAUAACACGACUAGGCAAUAUGUUUAUGAGAUGCACUGCCGUGAGGAAUGCCUCGUCCCAACAUUUGAGGGGCAUGGAUGCUCGCGCAAGCAAAGCGAGACCGACUUCUACAAUGUGUCUAUGUUUGCAUUCAACAGACCCAUUUUGCUGAUGGGCAUGUGGACAUGACACAUGAUGAGACACACUAAGAGUUUGGAAAAAGGAGUUUAAUUUCUCGUACUCCCCUCCCCAAUCAGAUUGGACAACGAUGAUUUUGCUGUCAAAUUUUCUUUCAAUGAGUGCUUGAAUUUUUUUGAAGACUUGAAAGACAUCAGAUCUUUUCUUUAGGAGAUAGAUCCAUGUGUAUUUGUUGUAAUCAUCUAUGAAACUCACAUAAUAAGUAUGUCUACCAACUAAAGAGGGUGCAGGACCCCACACAUCAGAAAAUAUGAGUUGUAGUGGUUUGGUAGAAAUACUAGAAGAAAUUGGAUAUGGUAACUGAUGGCUCUUGGCCUUUUGACAAGAACCACGAAUUGUUUCAAGACUAAGCUCCCCAACAUAUGGAAGCUUAUUUUUCCUAAGCACUCGUUCUACUAAAGAAAAUGAUGCAUGCCCUAGUCGAUCGUGCCACCGAGUUGAAGAUAAUUUGGUGACACCAUAUGCUUGCUUAUUGAAUCUCCUAAUCUCCGGAAUCAAUGGAUAGAGUCCUCGAACGCAUCUACCUCGAUACAGGAUUCUCUUCGUGGCCUGAUCCUUGAUCAAAAAGAAAAACGGGUGAAACUCGAGAAACACAUGAUUAUCAAUGGCAUUGCAAUGAACGGAUAGGAGAUUCAUUGAUGCUCUAGGGACAUGCGAAAAUUUUCUAAGAUGAAUUUUUUUGUGAGGAGUUUUAAUAACUGAAUGACCAAUGUGACGGAUUCCCAUACCUUCUCCAUUAGCUGCAUGGAUCUGAUCGCGGCCGCGGUACUUCUCCGUCAUGCUCACCUUUUCCAGCUAACCGGUGAUGUGGUUGGUAGCACCACUGUCGACGUACCAAUUUGUGUCGACUCCGUACGAGGCAUCUGCUCCUCCAGGGACCUUCUCAUCAGUAGGCGAGUCGCUGUCCUCCUAGAAGCGGUACCAGCGGUCCCUCGCCGAGUGUCCAAGCUUGCCACAAAUCUGGCAGCAGACGGCAUCUGGACGGGACUUGCUGGAGUUGUUGCGGCGGCCCUUAGGGUUGGUGUAGGAGGGUCAUGCACCGUUGUUGUUGCCGCGAGAGUUGGGGGCGCCACUCUUACCGUCGCUGGUCGCCUCCGCCUUGCGCGCUGGCCCUCGAUAGCGUGAGGAGCCGUCGCCGCCGCCGCCGCAUCCAUGUGAAGUGGCGUUAGCAGAUGACUUGAACCCACCGCCAGAGUUGUUUCCCUAGAAGAGCGCGACUCUUUGGUCGAAGUUACUCAUCUGGGCGAAGAGCUCAUCCAGGGUGACCGGCUGUGUGCGGGCGUCGAGGGCAGAGACAAGCGGCUGAUACUCCAUAUCGAAACUAGCAAGGAUGUAGGAGAUCAGCUCGCUGUCAUCUUGAAGCGGUUUGCCUGCUGCAGCAAGCUCGUCCACCAGGGAGCGCAUGUGCGCGAAGUAUGUUGCCACGGACUACGUGCCCCUCUGUGCAUUCGCUAGUGUGAUGCGGAUGUUGUUGACCCUCGACAGCGACUGGGACGAGAACAUGCUCGCCAAGGCUGCCUAGAGUUCAUGUGCAUGGACGAUGGAGGUAACCUGCACUAGAACUUCUUUGGUGAGAUUGUUCAACAGAUAGACAAGUACCUGCUGAUCCUCUCGGAUCCAGACGGCAUGACGGGGAUUUGGGAUGGUCUCCUCCUUCCCAUAUUUGUCCUUGAUGACGACUUGUUUGGCCGGCUCCGGGUUCGUUCCAUCAAUGUACCCGAAGAAUCCCGCUCCUCUGAUCUGCAGUGUGAUUUAGGUGCGCCAGAGGAUGAAGUUGGUGCGGGAGAGCUUUUCCGUGACUUGGCCAGAGAGACCAGAGGUUACGGUGGCGGUAGAGGAAGCCAUGGCAGCAAGCGUAGGUGGUGGAAGGGAUGGAAGCUAGAUGCGAUGGAAGAGAUGGGCUCUGAUUACCAUGUGAGAAUUGUUGUAACGUCGUACCUAUCCUGGUAGGAAUGGUUCUAUGUUAUAUAGCAGGGGCCGACUCCCUGAUAAGGCAUACAAGCUUGGAGUACAAGGAACGAAGAGAUAGAGAUAGAUCAUGCAGUUGGAAGAAGAUAGACUAGAUACUAACAACCUAUUCAAACUAACUCUAUCUCAAGAUAUGUGCAUUAUGACUACACGUCCUUGUUACAAUCAUACACGCAUAUAUGAGUUUAACACAACACCAGUACAAAACAGACCAAGAUGGACUGAUACUAAUGGCGUCAAGAAGGAAGGUGAACAGAAAACCGACCCUAAGCCCGAAGGAAAGUGCAGAGAACCUAGUACUUGCAGAUACUGUGGAGGCAAAUGGUUCUUUAGACACAAGUGUGCCCAAUAUAAAACACUGAAUAUCAUAACCACUGAAGAAAAUGCUGAGGAAACAACAGAUGAAAUUCUACAGGGCAGUGAUCCAACUGAAGAAAACACUACACCUGCUACUUCCCCAAUUAAAGAGGAACAAUAUAUGCACAUAUCACUCGAGGCCCUAGGAAAACUACCCAUUGCUGCAACAUUUUCCUUUAAAGUCAACAAUGGAGCAGGAGUGGCAUAGCGUUGGUGGACUUAGGGAGUACCCAUACCUUCAUAAACAUGAUUUUUUUAGAGAAAAGGCCAAAGCCCGACUUUAUAGAUAAAGCCUCAAGGCAGCGUCACGGAUACCGCAAGUUCACAGGAGCACACACACAAAGAAAAGGAAGAGAGUAGCCAAAGCAGGAAAGAUACAGGCAACUGCCAUACACGGCGCGCAGGCCGGGGAGGGAGAAACACCUAAUCUCCGCAAGCGACAGCACCAGAUUAGACGACAGGGUUCCUCCCGGAGAUCUGAGAAGCCGAAGCCCGAAUUUUGUCGAUGAGAAGGUCCAGGGCAUCCCGAUCAGUCUCCUUAGUCAAUGAUCUCCACUGCUGCAAGAAUAUACAUGAUUUGAAAAGAACAUCAGCAGGCUUAGAUGGGAAGGUAAGUUCAAUAGUAAAUUUGUUUCUAAUGGUCCAGAGAGCCCAACAUAAAGCUCCCAGGCCAACCCAAAAUACCCUCUUGGUGACCCCGACCAAGGCUUUGGCUAGGGUUCGAAUCUCAGCGAAAGAGGAGGGAUUCCAGGGAACCCGAAGCCAAGAUCUGACGCAGCACCAAACUAAUUUGGCGAGAACGCAAUUGAAAAAGAUGUGAUCAGAGUUCUCCAAGGCCCCACAUAAAUUACAGAAUUCCGAGCCCGGCCCAUUGCGUUUUUUGAUCUGAUCAGUAGUCGGGAGGCGACCACGGAAGGCUUGCCAGAGAAAAAUCUUAAUCUUAGGAGGAACCUUGGAUUUCCAAAUGCAAGAGAAUCGAGCCGAAGGACUACCACCAAUAAGUCUAGAAUACAGCAACUUAACCGAAAAUCUACCAGAGGCCGAAUGAGGCCAAAUCACCGAGUCGGCCGACUCCGAGAGCACAGGGAAGAGGGCAGAGAGACUUUGCCAAUCUUCCAACUCUCCAGGAGACAGGGCCCGAUGAAAAGCCAAAUCCCAAUUAUUAGCAGCCACCUCCGCGAUGGAGAUCUGCGGAUUAGGACAGUAAGAAAACAAAACCGGAAAGCGCACGGCUAGGGGGGCAUCCCCAGACCACCAAUCCAACCAAAAUCGAACAGCCAACCCAUUACCAACAGUAAACUUAACAUGCUCCAGAAAAAUUGGUCUAACUUUGACAAGGGCUUUCCAAAACUGAGAGCCACGCCGCGCUGAAGCAAACAGCGGGUUGGAGUGAGGGAAAUAUUUGGCCUUAAGAAUCGAAAACCACAACGACUCGGCCCCAACAGUCAUAAUUUUCCACCACCACUUGAUAAGCAAACAAAUGUUCAUCACCCGAGUAUUAAUAAUGCCUAACCCCCCAAGGUUCUUAGGUUUACACAUAAGUUGCCACUUGACCAGCCUAUACUUCCUUUUGUUAUCAGCGGAAUUCCAGUAGAAGGCACCCCUAUGUUUGUCGAAGCCAGCAUGCACGCCAUUCGUGAGAAGAUAAAAGCCCAUAAGAAACAUAGGGAGAGAGGAUAAGCAUGAGUUGAUUAGAGCCACUUUGCCGGCAUUGGUAUUAUAUCUACCCCUCCAAGGGAGCACCCUGUUCCCCACUUUAGCAACCGCCUGAGCGAAAUCAUUCGCAUGAAGCAUUCCAGGAGAGAUAGGAAGGCCUAAAUACUUGAAGGGGAAGGAGCCUAAUGAGCAGUUAAGGAGCCUGGCAACCCGCAAGGCUUCCGCCCCAUCAACACCCGUCACCAAAACCUCACUCUUGGCGAAAUUAAUCUUAAGACCCGAAACGGCUUCGAAACACAACAGGAUGAAUUUUAGAUUGGCAAUACAGGCGUCAUCCAGCUCCACCAAGAUGAUUGUAUCGUCCGCAUAUUGCAGAUGGGAGACACCUUCCGGAAGUAAAUGGGAGGCCACAGGAGCGAUGUGCCCACAGCGGGCCGCCCUGGAGAGCAUGCAAGAGAAGGCGUCGGCCACAAAGUUAAAAAGAGCAGGGGAGGCAGGAUCCCCUUGGCGAAGGCCCCUGCCAUUCGCGAAGAAAUUGCUAACAAAGCCGUUAACAGCAACGGCAGUAUGGCCACCCGAGACCAACUGCAUGAUACGAUGAACAUAAGCACCGUCGAAGCCUUUAGCAAGGAGGACCUGCUUGAGGAAGGGCCAGCUAACCGAGUCAUACUCUUUUUGAAAGUCUAACUUAAGAAUAAUCGCUUUAGCUCUUCGCACAUGAAGAUCAUGAACAAUCUCAUGAAGGGAAAGAAUACCGUCAAGAAUGAAACACCCUUUGAUGAAAGCAGACUGAAAGGGGCUAAUAACUCUAUGAGCUACCAGAGACACACGAUUCGCAAAGCCUUUAGCCAGGAAUUUGGCAAAGUUGUUAAUCAAAGCAAUAGGCCGAAAUUGGGAGAUAACAUCAGCACCCUUGACCUUAGGAAUCAGGGAUAUCACAGCGUAAUUCAAGCGAGAGAUAUCGACAGUACCAAGGCAGAAACCCUGGAUAACGUUACACACCAACUGUUUCAACUGGGGCCAGAAUUUCCGAAAGAAAGGGAUGGAAAAACCGUCUGGCCCGGAAGCAGCAUUGGGAUUAGCAGAGUUAACAACAUCCCAAAUUUCCUGGUCAGAGAGCAGAAUCAUCAAGGAAGCAUUCUCCUCGGGGUGAUUUUAAGACCAGAGCUCCAUAGGUGGGGAGAUAUAUAUAAGCCCGAUUGGGGUUUAGCCCCUAACAACAAAGAAAAGAAAUCCACCACAUGAGCCAUAAUAACAGACUGAUCAGAAGAACGCACACCAUUAAUCAGAAGGCUAUUAAUAUCACAGCACCUACGCCUACCGUUCGCAAUCGCAAAAAAGUAGGCUGUAGGAGAGUCCCCUUUAAGAGUCCAGUUAAGAGUGCCCCGCUGGCGCCAAUAAAUCUCGGCCUGGUGGUGCAACUGCAUUAAAGCAACCUCAAGAUUAUAACGAACGGCCCAGCCAUCGUCAGAGAGCCCAGUAGAAUCAGCAGCACGAUCCAGCUCCAAGAUCUGGUUUUCGAGAAAAGCUUUGGUGCGACGAUCCUCCGCCGCACGAUUACGAGACCAACCUCUAAGAAACUUACGUAAGUCAUAGGAGCACGAGUGCCAAUCAUCCAGAGGCCCAAACGAGUGGGAGUUGGACGAGAGGGAUGGGGAAAUCUUCGCUGCAGCCAUAUCAGCAAAGCCAUCCACCGACAACCAUGAAGCAUCAAAUUGAAAUCUAGCCAGAGGUCGCGUGCAAAUGGAACCAUCGUCAAGAAUCAAGGGGGUAUGAUCAGACCCGACAAUGCAUUUGGCGUUAAGAGAAGUUCUAGGGAACAAGGAAUCCCACCUGAGACAUAGGAAGAUGCGAUCAAGCACGGAUCUAAUAGGGUUAGCCUGAUGGUUAGACCAAGUAAAGCGAGCUCCCCCCCCCCCGAGGAAGCUCACGGAUGGCGUUAGCACUAAUGAAGUCAUUAAAAGCAUUAGCUAAAGGCCAAGAGAAAUUAUCAUUAUUCUUGUCAAGGGGGCACCGUAGAAGAUUAAAGUCUCCCCCAAUAACCAUCGGUAAAUUACAGGACUCAAUCUUGAUCGAGAGUUCAUUAAGGAAUAGGGUCGACAGAGAGUGAUCCGCAGGCCCAUAAACAACGAUAAACUCACAGAGGGUAUUCAUAGAUUUGUGAGAAAGAACAACGCUGGCCCAAAAAAACCCAUGGUCAAAAGCAACAAAAUCAAAAAUAUCUUUAUUAGAACCAAUCAAGAUCCCACCAGAGUGGCCCGAAGCAGGUAAAAAAUGCCAAUUAAAUCUGUCCAUACCCACAAUAGCAGAGAGCUCAUUAGGGGAGAAGGAAUCCUUGAAAGUUUCAACCAGUCCCACGAAAUCAAUUGAAUUAGAACAAACCAAAUCUUUAAGUUGGUCACGGCGCGCCCUAGCACCGAACCCCCUAAUAUUCCAGAAUAAAGCCCUCAUUUAUACGAAAGAUUCUUGAUGCGGAGGCUCGACCUGUAGGGGGCCAUGCAGGAUUUAGCACGUUUAUUAGUGCCCCUCUUGGAAGAGCAGGAAAGGGGCUGGCCACUACCAGCACCCGAAGCCACCCCCGCAUCACAACCAGCAACCUCGACCCUCGAGGCAACAACCUCUUUGGCUUUAGCAAUGGCUGCCUGAGCCAGUUCAUUAGCCCGAAUAAUAGCAAGAAGCGAACUAGGAGAACCAACAGAAGAAUCGACCACCAAACCCACGUCCGACAUAAUAUUUAAAAUAUGAUCAUCAGACAUAGAAGGUAAAACCACCCGAACAGGAGAAACAGUGACAGAAGAUGCUGGGGAGGUACCUGGGGGAGGGAGAUCCUUCGCCGUAGCCCGCUUCUCCGCCCUUUCCAGGACAGAACCACCGGAGUGCGCAACCCGCCUUCCUUUGCGGGCCGUGGACACCGGAGAUCGAAUAGCAGACGCUCGCGCAGCAGGAGAGCCAACAUGGGGACCGGAGCAGGACAUAGAACCCAGAUCUUGAUCAAGACACCGACAGAUCCCUGUCAUGGAUUGCUUCGAGCCCGACGAGUUCCGGCUCUUAGCCAAGAACUUGCACACUGAGGAUUUCUUCUUCGUGAGGGGCUGGGAUUCCACCAUAUUGUGAGCCGGGGAGACAGGGAGAUCUUCAAUUCCCGAACGGGUGGGGGAGAGUGGGCAAGCAGGAAGAUUGGAGCAGGCACCAGACACGGGGGUAGCCGAGCAAGGCGGGACCUUUGGCAAAUCAGCGACAGCGGUCGGAGCAGUCUGAGCAGCAGGGGAGAUCACUGGGUCAUCAUGAGGAGCAUCCCCAAAAGGAGCUUGGGAUUGAAACAACUCACGUUUAGAGUCUGCCAAGCCAUCCCAUUCAGAUUGAAUGAAGCGAAGAUUAGACCCAAAGCUCUGAUUAGGACCACCCAAAGAUCCACCCCCCUCCUUGUCAUGCUUGUCCGAGGAAUUAGCAGGAGGAGGAGGGGGAGGUGGGGCUUGGAAAGCCGCCGCCCCCUCCACCCGCACCCGGAGCCUAAUACCAUUGGGAGAUGGGUAAACAUCAAUCGAGCCAUGCACACGUUCAGGAUCAACACACCAAACCUUCAUCCUAGCAGGACCAACCUUGUUCAAAGAAUCCUCAUCCACCUCAAUAGGUUUCCCAAUUAAAACCCCAUAGGACAUGAGGAAAGCAGGCGAGCGAAGACCAGCAGGCAAAUCAUCGAUCAAAACCCACACUUGAGAAAGAGGGCCAACUGCCGUACCAUUGUAAGAAGCAGCUUUGACAGAAACCACCAAUUGAUUGAGAGGCAAGGUGAAGCUGGUGCAAGAAGCAAUCAACGCAAGCAUUCUUUGGAGGGGAACACCACAGAGAAAUCAAAAUCAGACAUCUGCACAACUUGCCAGUCCCAUCCAGCCACAUCCCAAAUGCGAAGCCCUUCCAGAAGAGUUUGGGGCAAAAUCUUUUGGUCUUUGACCAAGACAAUCGCCGCAUUGGACAGCGCAGGUGCCACCUCCCGAACAGGAAGGUCACCAUCGAAGGCGAAGAAGGCGCAGCCAGGGAGUCCCAAGCCAAACUGGAGGACCGCGGGAGGUUUCUGCCUAGCCAUGCAGUUGACUGUAAGAUGACCAUCAGAGCGACAGAUCAGGCAGAAGGGGGGAUUGGUGCAGCGGGACUGGAAGUGCCCAGGCCUGUGGCAAGCGAAGCAGGUGAGCGCCGAUGGGUUGUUGUGGGAGGUAGAGGAGGGACGAGGUUGCCGCAGCGACGGGGGAGAAGGAAGAAUCCCAUCCCCCAUUCCCGGAGGAAGGGGCGCCCCCGAGGCUGGACCAGGCGGCCGACGUGCCGGCCCCGCGAAGGACCGAGGCGGCGGACGAGCACCAGAUCCAGCCCCAAACGAGCGAGGAGGCGGGGGCGGUAAGGGACGCGACGGGGCAGACGAGCCACGCCCCGCACCCAGAACGGGAAGGGAGGCAGAGGAUGAAGACACCCCACCGCCGGAGGCCACCGCCGCCUCCCACGGAUCCAGCACUGGAGAAGGAGAAGGACCAUAUCCAGAGCCCUGCGGACCGGAUCCAGUCACACCGUCCCUCUCCGAGCGCUGCACCCGCUCCGGACCCGAAACCCAGGCCUCGCGGGCACGAGCCGCCUGCUCGCGCGCCGCCUGCUUCGACUCCAGCUUGGAGCGGAGCGAAGCCUCGAGCUCCAGAUCCACCGCGGAGGCAGGGGAUUCCUCGCGGCGCCGCUUGCUGCCAGAGAGCGCCUCGCAAGAAGAACCCCUAGACUUGUCCAUGGCGAUCACCGCAGCAAAAGGAAGACGGAGGGGUGGGCGUGGGGGAGAUCUAAUGAUGCGGCGGAUGGGAAGACGAUGGCGGCGCAGAUCAGAAGCGGAAGUAGGAAACCCUAGCAGGGAGGGAGAGAACCGCGUGGAAUCCAUAAAUAGCCCGAGGAAGCCGUGCCCACCUGGGCCCGACUAGCCAAAUGGGCCGAAGGAGGGUGAGGAGCAGGCAGCCGGGCGGUGGGCCCAACUGGGCCAUACGAAACGAGAGGGGGGAAAUCGACCACAGAAGAGAGGGUGGGAGGGGAGGAAGGCCCACUAGCCAGCACCACCCCGCCAGGCCCAGCAAGCCCACACGGGGAGUUGGCCCGCGAUCCAGAGGACACCGCAUCGAGAUCAAGAUCUAGGUUACACGAAGCCACCAACGCCCCCGCCGACGCCGCCACCGGCGACGAGGCCGCCGCAGACGAAGCCGGAGAGGGAGAUGGAGAGCCUCCAAGCUUCCCAUCAGGAGCACGACCCAAGACACCAGGAUCAGGAGACGCAACAGCAAACUUACCAGAUUUACGCCGACGCCGCGAGAUCCAGAUCCAGUCGUCGACCGGCGGAGACACAACCACCGGCCGGCCCCGGCCCCCAGGAGCGAACUUGCGGAGGCGAGGAGCGGCGCAGGCCACCCCCACCCCCACCCCCAGAGCAGGGCACAACACCGCAGGGGGAGGAGGCCAACGACAGCGCAUCCUCCUCAUCAGACACAAGGGCCCAAAAACGAGAUCCAAGCAUCGGCAGCGGAGAAGAAGGAGGGGAGAACCCCACCCGCGGGGAGACGGAGGAGGGGAGAGGGAGAGCAUCUGCACGCGGAGAGGAGUGCGACCGGACGCGGGCCAACGGGGCAGGGCUGAGAGCGGGCCUGCCAAGGCGAGGAGGGGAGGAGGAAGGGAGGAGGGAGGGAGAGGAAGGAGGAGCCAUCUCGACCUGUGUGUUCGGGCUACCAUAAACAUGAAUUUCACUGUUAAAACCCAUUGCACCCCUAUCACUCAACCCAUGGACACUAUGUUCAUUGCUGAGUAUGGUGUGGUUCACAUGUGGUGCCCAUAAAUUAUACCAUCCAAGGGCAUCAGUUCAACAAUUCCUUCAAAAUCUUACCCCUCAAAGGAUCUAUUAAUGAAUUCAAAAAUAAUACACGAUAUAAAUAAAAUGCUCAUGAGUCAAAAUUAUAUACACUCCACUAAGAACAGUAUCAUCAUGGCAAGCUAUCUCAUAUGGUUUGGAUCUGUUGAAAAAAGGAUUAGUUUGGAGGGUGGGUAUUGGACAAAGUAUCCUUAUCUGGAGAGAUUCCUGGAUGCAGAGACCAUUCUCAUAUAAGCUUGUAUCACCGAAGCGUAGAUGCAGGUUGAGAUUCGUCUCAGAGCUCAUAGACCACUUUGGUAAUUGGAAGCUGGACGUACUGCACCGGUACUUCAUGCAGAUGGAUAUCACUGAAAUUCUGAAGCUUUAUCCGUAUGUUUGUUUGGAUGAUUGUCUAGCCUGGGCGCCUAAAAAAGAGGCUCUUUCUCAGUUAAGAGUGCUUACGGAAUGUCUAUGGAGGAAUGCUGGAGCUCGGCAUCAACUAGUAGUUCGGCUCCUAACGCAAAUAGGAAAAUCUGGAACAAUAUAUGGAAGAGCUGCGUUCCACCCACCGUUAAAACUCCUGUGUGUAGGUUCUGCGAUGAUUCUCUCCCUACUUGGCGUAACAGGCAUAAUAGGAACCUAGAACUUUCAGAUCAGUGCCCAGUAUGUGGAGUAGAAGCAGAGGAUAAUUUUCACCCUUUCGUCAGAUGUUUGUUUUCAGUUAUGUUGUGUCGUAGUUUAUCAGAAGUUUGGAACUUGCCUAAGUUGGAAACCUUCAGAAAUAUUGGGAGAGAUUGGCUACUUAUUGUUGCAGCGGGCAUUGAUACUUGCAUGUUGGACAGAAUUCUAAUGGUGUUUUGGCACUGCUGGUUUAUUUGUAAUAAGGUUGUCCACAACAAGAAACCACCUCUUGUUGAUGUCUUCAAAAGAUUUCUUCUUAGUUAUAUGGGUAUGCCACAUAAGAUCAAGUACCACCCCGACAAAGACUUCAUCAAAGGGAAGUUUUCUAUUGAUGGUCAUAUUGCUCCUUUAUCCCAGUCAGGCACUUCUUCUGCUCACACGCAUGCAUGGAUCCCACCAGUUUUGGGCUGGAAUAACCUUAAUACCGAUGGAUCCUUCUCAGCAGAAGGUAUUGCGGGCACUAGAAUGAUCCUAAGAGACCAUCUUGGGAAACAUAUAUUCUCCUCAUGCACAUAUCUCGACUCUUGUUGGGAUGCUUUGGAAGUUGAGCUUCCUGCAGUGUGUGAAAGUGUUUCUUUGGCUCUUCAAUGGUGUAGCACUCCUGUCCUAAUCGAGGUAGAUUGCUUACAACUCGUCAACAUCGUUCAACAAAAGGAUCGAGACCUGUCAGGCUACAUGACAUUGAUUGAGGAGAUUAAGAAACUUAUGAGAUCUCGUCAGACUUGUAGUACUCAUAUUUCGCGUAACCAAAAUACUAUUAGUCACUUCUUAGCUAACUAUGUUAGACGUCGUGGCCGUACUGUAAUUUGGUUAUGCUUCGGUCCUGAGGAUGUUAAGGACAGUUGUCUUGCUGAUUGUAAUUUUGAUGUUUGAGUAAUACAAGUUCUAUUCGCAAAAAUAUAUACACGAAUUUAAAAUGUGUUCAUGUUUCUUUAAAUAUGUCCACGUAUUUUAAAAAAUGAUCAUAAAUUUUGAAAGAUGCCCACAAAUUAAAAAAAUCAUGAAUUAGAAAAAUAUUCAUGAACUUAAAAAAUGUCAAAUUUUAGAAAAAAAAAUAUAAAUGCAAAAUAAUAUAUCUGAAUUUUAAAUGUAAAAAAAUAAAGUGAAAACAAACAAAACGAAAAACAAUGUUUGCCAGCCACGACGAUGUUAGUUCGAUGUUACACGUGCUAAGAGCUUGUCAAGUGUUAGUUCGGCCUCGCCUCUGGCGCUCGAUUAAAUGGGCCGGCCCAAUAUUAUAAUCCCUACAAUGACUUUGGGAAGGUACUAUAGUUCGGUAUUCUAAAAAUAGGUACGAUAGACCGGUUUUAGAACCUUCCAUGUGUGGUUUCUUUAGGUCCUGAUAACGCUCACACAUGUGGCAUACUAGACAUCCAUUCACACACCAUGUGUGGCGUGAGCAGGAGGCAGCCCACACGAAUUGUGUGUGGGCGAACAUCAGAAUUGCCCACGUGUCACACGCCCAAUAAAUACUACUCAUCCCAUUCCGCACGUGUGACACGAAGCAAAUAUGCCCACACGUCCUGGCGCAGCUACGUUAGGUAUCCGUGGGAUGACGAUUUAGUUGCCAUCCGGAAUGAUAGAUGUAGUUAUCCAGGAUGGCAAAUGCAGUUGUAUAAGUACGACAACUCUUUCUGUUUUGGUUAACUAAAGUUGUCAUGUCUAAUUUAUGGUAGUUGCCGCGUGUAAUCAAAUCAUAGUUGUCGUGUGUGAUUAACUACUUGUCACAUAUGGUCAAACAAUAGUUGCUAUGUGUGUUUACCUAGUUGCCACGUGUAGUCCAACCAUAGUUGCCAUGUAUGGUUAAUCAUAGUUGUCAUGUGUGUUUAUCUGGUUGCCACGUAUGCGCAACUGCAGUUGCCGUCUAGUAAUGAAUCAUAGUUGCCAUGUGUGUUUACCUAGUUGCCACGUACGCGCAACUGCAGUUGCCAUCCAACAACGUACGGGUGUCGUGUGGGCGAAAAGCAGUUCACCCACACGGCAUGGACUAGGUGGUGGCGGUGUGACCAGAAACUAAUUCGCCCACACAUUCCAGCUAGAAAACCGCGUGCUGCGGGGCAUGUAGGCGAACUCUCCAAUGCCCACACACACGAUGAUGCCCACGUGGCACUCAGAUUCUAACAGAUUCCUUUAGGAUUCGUGCAAAACAAACUCAACGUGGAUCAAGACACGUGGGCGAUGUGCAAACAUGCCACACGUGUGGCGUUAUCAUUUGGGCAUUGUAACCCUGUUAAAUUGCCUCUCUCCAACCAAACCCAGAUUUCAUACCAAACUCGUGCAUGAUUGCAGCUAAGCUAAGCUUCCACCACUACCAUGGAAUUGUAAGCAAGCACAAGCCUAGUAAUUAAGCCAAAAUAAUCAGGAGCGGAGCUUGUCGGCGUGGCGGCGCACGUUGGCCCUGAGCCGGUCGAGCGCCCGGGCGAACUCCGGCAGCUCGGCCUCCCCGAGCGCCUCCACGUCGGCCUCCCACCAGUACCGCCUCCCCAUCUGGGCCUUGACCACCGUGUCCCCGAUGGUAUUCAUCCGCUUGAUCUCCGACGCCACCUGCUCCGCGGUCGCCUCCCUGGCCCGGUACAACUCCUCCAGCGCCUCACGGUCGUCGACGUCAGCGGCAGGAACGAGGGCGCCGGCGUCGUUGCCGUCGUCGAAGCGGCGCAGGACGGCCUCCAUGGAGGGGCUGCCGAGGGCGAAGGCGUUGCCCGCCUCGGAGAAGACGACGACGGCCACGCGGGCGCCGCAGAGGAGGGCGAGCUCGGAGCACUUCUUGAAGAGGCCGGCGCGGCGCUUGGAGAAGGUGACCUGCCGGCUGUUCUUGUCCGGCCUGAGGCUCAUCUCGAUGCGGUGCCGCCCCGUGCUCGUCGUGCCGCGCGGCCGCACCAUCGCCGCGGUCGAUCCAGCAGCGAGGGAGCGGAAGAAACUCGGCGGUGUCGGCGGCGGCGGCGUUCCCUCCUCUGUUGUUGUGUCUUGAUUUGGUCUUCCUCAACACGACGCGCUGUGGCACUAUAUAUAAAGGAGGAAAAGGUUCCGGCUAGGGCUCGGGGUGAGCGUCAAGGCAUGGUCGAAGUCGGAUUGGACGCCGCGGCGGUCGGGUGCAUACGCGUCAAGGAUCUUUGAUGGAGAAGGCGGCGGUCGGGUGUCGGGUGGAAGAGUUAUACGCGUCAUUAUAACGCUCACAUGGGCUUUGGCCCAAGAAUAAUGCGUCGCUCCGGUGCGGUCGCUCGCUCGCUCCGAUCCAUUUGCUCCCUCGUUCAGCAUUUCCUACAUGGCACCUCAAGCGCCCGUCAUAGUAUAUUUUGCUAGUAACAAAACCGUUCCAAAAUCGAGGCCGGCGGCUCCUGGUUGAUUCUACACUGCAGUCACCAGCCGGCCACCAGCACGUAAUGUUAUUGCUUAGUCGUACAUCUUUUCACUCUUUUAUUCUUUCCUUUUCCUUUCUCCUUUUUUCUCUUUUUUUGGAACUGUUUGUUCAACUUUGUAUUUUUUUUUGCUUUUGCUAAAUGAGUGAACCUUUUUUAAUUUCAUAAACUUUUUAGAAGUUAAUGAAUUUUUUUUGAAACCUGUGAAGUAUUUUUCAAAGUCGAUUAUCUUUUUGAAAAUCGGUGACCUUUUUCUAAAAUCGAUGAACUUUUUCUCAAAUUGAUGGACUUUUUCUAAAAAUCGAUGAACUUUUUCCAAAACGGGUGAACUGUUUUCAAAAUUGAUGAACUUUUUUUUAAAAUGAAUGAACCUUUUCUGACAUUUGUGAACUUUCCUUCAAAAGUGAUGAAUUUCUUCUAAAAGGAAUAAAUGAACUGUUUUUCCAAUUCGUGAGCUUUAUUUGAACCUGUGCACAUAUUUUUUAUGUUACCAAAUUUUGAAAUAAUAAAAAAACUAUUCCAGUUUUUUCUUUAUGGACCAAAAGAUUUUUCAGGGAACCGCAUGAAAAAUGCAAUCUUAAGAGAAGCAAGUCGUACCAGCGAGCGAAUCGGAUGUCCAUGCGAGCAAGUGACGGUCACCGCUAGUGAUGGCCAGGCCCAUGCACGUGUGCCCUUGUGCGUUGCAACCACAAACUGGCGCUUAAGGCUGCCAUUAGGACACGGACAACAAAUCUAGCCCCUCAAACGCGCACAUUCCGGACACAUUUACGUACUACGUAGAUCAACUAAGAUUAAAUACACUUCUCGUCAUAGUCACAUAUGUCCAUGAUCUUCGUGCCCAGCUCCGGUUACAUGUACGGCAGUUGCAACUCCGGUUGCUCUUCGUCGGCCUCCGCCUCCAGUCCGGCACCGGCUACUCCCCAAACCCCUCCUCCUCUUCCUCCUCUUACUCCUCCUCUGGCCUCGACGAGUCGUGAGGUAGACCGGCUAUGAUGCGGGCGGCGCGCCUCGCCCGAAUCUCCUCCAGCAUUUUAAAUCGGCGUUCCGGCGCUAGCAUGGCAUAAGUGGUCUUCUACUGCUGGGCCAUGGCGGAGCCGGACAAAGAGGGAGGAAUGAGAUGAAAUGGGAGAGAGGUGGAUGGGAUCGGGCUGGCGGCACGAAGAGGGAGGAAAUGGAUGUUGGCUAGGGUUGUGGGAUGCCGUCCGGCUUAAAUAGCCGGACUUUGGCACUCAGGCGGCUAGUCAGAGCGGCGCCACGCGAGGUUCACGCUCCACGGGAGGAGAUGCCGGUCGGACCGUCGGGUUUUCAGGUAUUUUUCCGAUGGCACCGCUAUAGUAUAUUUUGCUAACAAAACCGUUCCAAAAUCGAACCGGCGACUCCCAGAUCGAUCGUACUCCCUCCGUUUCUUUUUACUCCGCGUAUAAGUUUUGGUCAAAGUCAAACUACACAAAGUUUGACCAAGUUUAUAUUAAGAAAUAUGAACAUCUACAAUACUUAAACUAUAUAAUAUAAAAAUACAUUUCAUGGUGCAUCUGAAAAUGUUGAUUUCAUAUUAUAAAUGUUGAUAUUUUUUAAUAUAAAAUUAGUCAAGCUAUGCAAAGCUUGACUUUGACCAAACCUUAUAUGCAGACUAAAAAGAAACUGAGGGAGUACUGCCUCCAUCUAGGAUUAUAGGUCCGGCUAGCCAGUGUUGGUUGUACGGGAUUAAAAGGCCGGCUUGCUUCAUUAGCGCUGCUGGUUCACGAGACGAUUGGCUAAGGGCAUGUACAAUGCAUAGCCUCAAGGUGAUGCCUCGCAUGCCAUGUAGGAUCGGAUAUGACGUAAAGUAGGUUCAGAUACGGAAGCAGGAUUCUCUUCAGGAGGCGGGUGCUUGAAGAGAAAAAGCUGAAAAGCUGAAAAGAUUGGAGUGAAAAGUAGAGAUGCAUGUGUACUAGAGUCUUUAUUUUUUAUUUCUUAAUGAGGCCCACUAGUGAUAGCUUGCAUUGGAGAGAAAAAAUUAAUGUAGGUGCUUCAAAUUACUUUUUGUCACGGGGCAUAUGUAUCCAUAUGCCACCAUUGUACAUGCCCGAAGGCGCUGCAUGCAGGCAGAGGAUUAAAAGUAUUGCGCUGCAUGUAGACUAUUCAUUGGGUGCAUGCAUGUAGAGGAGAUGCCAGAUGCAGCUUCUUGUAGGGUGCUUGGAUCCAAGGGACUAUUUUUAGUCUGACUAAAAAUAGUCUUUUUUAGAGGCUAAAGUUUCAAGCACCCCUAACUAAAGAGAGGCUAGGACUAGUCUUGAGGCUAGAAAUUUUUAGUCAUAGGAAACCUACUAAAAUAUGUAUUAGCCCUCUCUCUCUUCAUUUAAUGCCUCUUCUUUAACACAUGCGAGUUCUGGAUUGGAGGGUUUGGAGGAUAAUAAAUGCUAAUAACUUGAUUUUAGUCUUUUUAGUAUUUGGAUCCAAGCAUGGAUGAGGCUAACAAGUUUUAGUCUCACUACUUUUAAUCAUGGGACUAAAACGUAUCCAAACAUCCUCUGAAUGAUGAGGCAAGUGCCUGGGUACAGCUGCGGUGGCUGUCCGGUCUUGUAAUCCCAGAAGAAGGUACUCCCUCCGUCCGGAAAUACUCGUCAUCAAAAUGGAUAAAAAGAGAUGUAUCUAGAACCAAAAUACAUCUAGAUACAUCCCCAUUUAUCCAUUUUGAUGACAAGUAUUUCCGGACGGAGGGAGUAGUACACUGCAGUCACCAGCCGGCCACCAGCACGUAAUGUUAGUACUUACAUCUUUUCACCCUUUUAUUCUUUCCUUUUCCUUUCUCAUUUUUUCUCUUUUUUAGAACGGUUUUGUUUGAUUUUUUAUUUUAUUUUGAUUUUGCUAAUUGAGUGAACCUUUUUAAAUUUUGUAAACUUUUUAAAAAUCAAUGACUUUUUUUAUAUCUGUGAACUAAUUUUCAAAGCCGAUUAUUUUUUUGAAAAUCGGUGACCUUUUUUUAAAAUCAAAUAACUUUUUCUCAAAACCGAUGAACUUUUGACAAAAUUGAUGGACUUUUUCUAAAAAUAGAUGAACUUUUUCAAAAUCGAUGAGCGAACUGUUUUUUCAAAAUUGAUGAUUCUUUUAAAAAUGAAUGAACCUUUUCUGACAUUUAUAAACUUUCCUUGAAAAUCGAUGAAUUUCUUCUAAAAGGAAUUGAUGAACUGUUUUUCUAAUUCGUGAGCUUUUUUUGAACCUGUGCACAUAUUUUUAGUUUACCAAAUUUUGAAAUACUAAAAAAACUAUUCCGCUUUUUUCUUCCUGGACCAAAAGAUUUUUCCAGGGAACCACCUGAAAAAAUGCGAUCUUAAGAGGAGAGAGUCGUACGAGCGAGCGAAUCGUACGUCCAUGCAAGCAAGGGACGGUCACCGCGAGUGAUGGCCAGGCCCAUGCAGGUGUGCCCCUGUGCGCUGUAACCACAAACUGGCGCUUAACGCUCCCAAUAGGAGCUCCCCGCUCGCUCCUUGUGUCUGUUUGUUUUUUUAUCUAAGAGCAUCUACAGGCACAGACAACAAAUCUAGCCCCUCAAACGCGCACAUCCCGGACAUAUUUACGUACUACGUAUAUCAACUAAGAUUAACUACACUACUCGUCAUCGUCGCAGAUGUCCAUGAUCUUCGUGCCCAGCUCCGGGUACAUGUGCGACAGCUGCAACUCUGAAUCCUCUUCGUCGGCCUCCGCCUCUAGUCCGGCACCGGCUGCUGCCCCCCUUCUUCUCCUCCUCCUCCUACUCCUACUCUGGUCCCGACGAGUCCGAAGGCAGACCGGCUAUGAUGUGGGCGGCGCGCCUCGCCCGAAUCUCCUCAAACAUUUUAAAGCGGCGUUCCGGCGCUAGCAUAGCAUAAGUGGUAUUCUUCUGCUGGGCCAUGGCGGAGUCAGACGAUGAGGGAAGAGUGAGACGAAAAUGGAAAGAGGUGGAUGGGCUCGGGCUGGCGGCACGAAGAGGGAGGAAGUGGAUGUGGCUAGUGCUGGGGGGUGCCGUCCGGCUUAAAUAGUCGGACUUUGGCACUCAGGCGGUGACUCGAAGCAUGGGCUCGGGCUGGCGGCACGAAGAGGGAGGAAGUGGAUGUGGCUAGUGCUAGGGAUGUCGUCCGGCUUAAAUAGUCGGACUUUGGCACUCAGGCGGCGACUCGAAGCGGCGCCACGCGGAGUUCACACUCCAUGGGAGGAGACGCCCGUCGGGUCGCCGUGUUUCCUUGUGGGACACCAAUGUGAGUCCGACAUGGUGGAUGUGCCCGGGCCGCCCCAUAUUUGCCCCUGAUUUGGGCUGAAUAUGAGAGGUGCCGGACAGCCGGGGAGUUUGAGGCGACCAUAUGGAUCGCAUCUUUUUGACUGGUCACUGACCAAGUCGUCCGCCCAGGAGUUUGAGGGUUGUUUACGGUGCCCAGGUGUAGAUGCUCUAAGCAGAAACCAUUAGAAAGCAAUAGCCCCUGCUGGGGAAAAACGGUUACCGAUCAUUGAAAUAUUUUAAAAUUUCAUAAAUUCAAAAAAUGUUCAUGGAUUUAAAAAUUAUUCACGAAUUCAAAAAAAGUUCACAUAUUUUCUAAAAAUGUUCACAAGUUUAAAAUACUUUCAGAAAUUUUAAAAAAGCUCACGAAUUAAAAAAUGUUCAUGGUUUCCAAAAAUUCUCAUGAAUUACAAACUAUUCAUGAAUUUUAAAAUGUUCACGAAAUUGAUUUUUUUUUCAUGUAUUUGGAAAUUAUUCACGAAUAUAAAAAAUAUUGAUGAACUUAUAAACUGUUUUAUCGAUUUUAAAAAUGUCUCCUGUUAUUUCAAAAUUAGGAGUUUUUAAUAUAUUACUUAAUUUUAAAAAAUGGGAAAAGAAAAGAAAGAUAAAAAUAAACAAAAAAAUGGAGAAGGAAAAAGCAUGUUGGGUCGGCCACAGCGAAGUUAGUUUGAUGUUGUAGACUUGCAGGUGCUAAGCUUAAGUUAGGCCCGCGUUACGCGUCAAUUGGUUGGUCUUUAGCAAAGACCAGCCGGGUCUUGAGCUGCCAAUGCAUGUGAUGCCCACCGUGCGAUCGUCCAUCUCCUUGUCCAUCCCUCGUUGCAACAUGAAUCAUCUUCCAAAUGUCAUUGCAACAUGGUCCAUGUUCAAACCUUGUUGCAACACGACCUAUGUUGCAAAAGCACCUAUCGCGAGCCCCACUUUGCAAGCACCUUUGGUGAGCUCCCCUUGCAGCAGGACCCUGUUGCAAGCACCUUGGAUGAUCCCCCCUUCAGCACGACCCCUGUUGCAAGCACCUCCGGGGAGUCCUCUUUGUAGCACGACCCCGUUGCAAAGCACCUCCGGCAAUUUGUGUACAUAAUAUUAUGAAUAGAUGAUGUUCAGUCGUACUACAACUUACGUGAAUAUGCUAGUUCUGGCUGAAGCUUAAACCCAAUCAAAAUAAAUUAAUCAAGAGAAACAAUGUCCUCCUUUUGUUGAUUUGCGUACAUAAUAAAAGUAUGAAUGGCAGCUCCCGCAAAAGAAAGUAACCACGAUAAGAGAAUAAGCGCCCCCAAUGGCAAAGUCUGUCAAGCAUUUCCUGCAGAAUCUGCAUAAAUUUUACAAGUUCCUGUGCAACCAUGUUUAAGCCGAUCUUGAUACGAACAAGUUCACGCUUUCAAGCACACGAACAGGAUUUUUUACACCUUCAUUUCAUAACAUAAGAUGCAUGAUUACAUAGAGUAGCUUCCACCGCAAAUGAAGCCCCAAACGCGCUACACUAAGCAUGCAUCGGCCUCCCUAUUCCCUAACAUAGCCUUCCAGAUUGUCCAGGAUUGGAUCGAUAAACAAAACACACAUACACACACAUUCACGGGAGCACUGACGCUCAUUAAGCCUACUGUCUCUAAUUAAGAACUUGGACUGAUAACAUCAUAGUACUUGGCAUACGGAGUAGUACUACUUUUGCGGCCAAUGCCAUUGCCAUGGCAUGUAGCCUAAGCCAAGGAGAGCGCCUGCAAGCCCGAGCCUGCCCGAGCCACCGCGCCAUCGGGCUGGAAGAAGCGCACGUACCUCCCAUGGUCGCGGAAGACUGCGGGCCAGUCCCAGACCGCGAGGACGUCCACCGGAACGACGCUGGUGGAGCCGUCGGCGUAGCGGAUCCGGACCUCACGGGGGACCUCGCGGGGUUGGCCGACGCAGAGCACGGCGUGCACGGUGGAGAGGUCCGGCGCCGCGAAGCAGGCCGGGUCGACCUCGACGACCCACCCGAAGCUGCGGCAGCUGUCGUCGAUCCCCUUCUGCGUGCGCUGCUCGGUCGGGUAGUCGCGCAGGGCGACGUGGGCGAGGAGGUCGUUGACGUCGCGGACGAGGUGGUCGGAUAUGUUGUGUGCGAGGUAGUCGUCGAGGAUGGCCGUCCCACAAGCGCGCACGAGCUCCACCGUGCCGCUGCCGUCCCGUGACGCGAACGGCUGCUGGCGCAUGGCGGCCUCCCGGUCGGCGGGCGAGCGGAAGCGCAGGCCCAUGGUUCCGCGGGCGGAGCCGAGGAGGCUGAAGCGGCCCAGCAGGUCCGGGGCCGUGGCGUUGAUGGCGUCGUGGAUGAAAGUCGCCGCGUUCCCGCCCCCGCCGAUGGAAGCCGUCGUGGGCCGUCGGACGUAGGCGUGGGCGAAGCACAUCGCGUGGAGCGCCUGCACGGAGGCGGGGCUAGGGGCUGCCGGAGCGCCGGCAACGCGACGGACCGCGGUGGCGGCGGCGGGGACCUCCGCGGGCUUGUACACGUCGUGGUACUCCGGGCGGUCGGAGAGGACGCCGGCGGCGGUGACGCGGUGGGCGCGCGCGAGCGGCAUCUUGAGAGCUUGAAGGGCAAAGCGGCGUUAGGCGGUGGAGAGAGGCAGACUGCUGAUCACAGACGCGGAUGUUGGCUGGGCUGGUAAUGGCGACGAGGGGAGGAGCUGUGCCUUUUAUAGAGUGGUGACUGACUGACUGGUGAGGAGCUCCUGCGGUACGUGGACGGUGAGGGGGAGGGAGGGUGCGCAUUGAACAGUGGAGUGAAGAGUGAAGCGCAGCCAUCUUUGACUUGGAGCGCAGCUCUAGUCUCCUCCUAGCCUUCCUAGAGGUGAGCUGCACCGCCUAGCUGGAGAAGAGCAGGGGAUACUGGAGUCGUGCGCGUCAAGGAAAACAUGCGUGCUACCGGAGAGAAGAGAUGUGCUGCAUGGGAAGAUCGAAGCAUGGCCGGGCGCAAUAAACUCAACAGCUGCAUUUUGCUACUCCAAAAUUUAUUCUGCAUUUUUCUACUAGUUUGUUCUGGUUUGGCAUUUUUUUUUACGGUUCUGGUUUGGCAUUUUUUUUCUACUAGCUGUCCUGCUUGUUUUCCAAGUUUAUAAUCUGUAAUUAUGACCAAUGGACGAAACUAUAUCUAUACGGGGAAAUACGCUGGGGACGCAAGUGGCGGGGGCAGCGCGGCAGCCAAAAAUGCUAGACACAUGGAAUGACCAUUAAUAAAUUUUACGGACUGGCUGACCUGUCCUGUUUUAAUUGAUCAAAGUAAACUUCUCCUCCUACUUAACACNNNNNNNNNNNNNNNNNNNNNNNNNNNNNNNNNNNNNNNNNNNNNNNNNNNNNNNNNNNNNNNNNNNNNNNNNNNNNNNNNNNNNNNNNNNNNNNNNNNNNNNNNNNNNNNNNNNNNNNNNNNNNNNNNNNNNNNNNNNNNNNNNNNNNNNNNNNNNNNNNNNNNNNNNNNNNNNNNNNCUGGUGGGGUGGGCCGUGGGCGCACAAGGCUGUAAAACCCCGUAUUUUUCCAUCGAUGUAGCAAAGCCGGCGGCCGACCAUGUGCGCCAGUUCCCGCCGUGAUUCACUUGUGUGUACUGGAAAAAACAUGGGAAAUCAUUGAUAAUUGAUAUACGGUAUAAUGCACCGGAAUACGGUCAAUUAUACAUGUCGGUUUUGUACAUAGACAUCGUACGUGCUGUUGCACUAUUUCCUCUUUGACUAUGGGUGGACCUUAUAUAUGUGCGUGCGUAGUUGUCCCGCUUGUUUUUCAAGUGUAUAAUCUAUAGUUAGGACCAAUGGAUGAAACUAUAUCUUUACGUGUCACUAGAAGAACACCCGUGCGUUGCAACGGGGCCACAUUAACUUUAAAAGUUCAAUAUUAAUAUUCUCAUAUAUAUCAAGUGACAUUGGCGACCUUUUUUAUCAUCAAUGCCUCACACACACUCUCUGCCUCCCUCUUCCUUACUCUCUCCCCCUCUCCCUCUCCCUCUCUCUCUAACACACACACAUAUUCAUCUUAUUGGGUACGGGACCAUAAUCCAUCUAUUUCACACACACACGCUAGUACAUAACAAUAUGGAUUAUGUGUAUUAUAUUUGCCACCACUACUGAGGGAAUUAAUUUCAUGUAAAUCGGCCAGCCACAGCUCCAAGAAUACGCGGAGAAGGUGGCCCGGGUCGGCGUCGGCGCCGUCCGGCACGGGCCACAGGCCCGCUUCCAAGCGCGUCUGCGCGUCGGCCACCCACGCCGUGUCCUUCAAGUGCCACUUCCACCGCACCAACUCCCAGGGUCACGGCCAUGGCCAGGGCCAGGGAAGCCGCCCUUCUUUGCCCCCUUCACCGGCCGCGGCUAACGCGGUGCCGCGGCACCCGGCCUCGCCGUCCUCGUCCUCCAGCACCGUCGCGACCCAGUGACGCAGCCCAAGCAUCGGCCUCGAGAAUCAAGAACGCUCGACAACGUAGAGGGAAGGAAAGUUCAUAUACAUGUCAUAAGAGAGGGAGUUUAUUUACUGCUCCCUCGAUGUAUUGUUUCCUUUGUUUGGAGAUUGAUUACCAUCCGUGAGUUAAGCUAAGGUUUACGUGAUUGAGCGAUUUUUGAAAAUCAAUUAUUUUGUUUUCUAAUUAAUGUAAUUGAGUGAUUUAAGGUAAGGUUAAUUAAUUUAGAUUUGAUCUUUAGAGAUUGUUCGUGAUUGAUUCUACACUACUAAAUAACUUGCGCCAGUAUGGAAAGUUCUGAUCUGUUUAGAUUUCUUUCGUUGUGUGAGAGAGUGACGCAAAAAUAAACCGAUGAAGUGAGGGGAGGGGACGAAAAAAAUCUACGAAAAAAAAA